rnacentral:lncRNA from 1 species
CCGUCGUUGCUGUUGAAAAACAUACCAAGAAACAUAUAUUUGGGACCAAAAUCAGUCUCUACACAGACUCGAGACGAUGGAGAAAGCAAAAACGGGACACACGAGUAGAAUGUCAUUCCUUGUAUGGGUGAGAUUAGGGACAUAAGGCAAGUUGAGCCCGAAUUAGAGACACUAGCAUCAUACACCGGAUGUAUCUUUGGCCGUCAAACUAGUUAUCGAAGAGGUGGAAAAAUUCACCAGCUUACAAGUCUAAACACAACCAGGCCACAUAGCCCCCAAGGAUGCCAAAAGACUCACGGAAAAAACCUGUCCCUUAAGAACCACGAACAGCCUUCAGUCCAUUAUUAGCAGCACGUUAUUAAGGAAAGAAACCGCACACGCCGCACAAUCGAAUCAAAGCAAAUAUGGCAAGUUCUUCACGCCCCCAACAUCAUUUGGUUGGGAAAUCACAUGCCCCGAUAUCAGAUCAAAUUGUUUAUCAACAGAUUCAACCACCUUUCCUUAUGCCCAAGAGCUGCAAAAUCCAAAGAUUGAAAACAUGAGCAGUCGACUUGAAGGGAUCCACAGAACAUGCAAGUUUAUCGAUAAGCAUACUCGAUUUCACGAAGGAACUCAUGAUAAAACUUCCCAGAACUUCACUUAUCAGAUUUUACACGACGUCCUAUGUGUAGGUAAAGAAAGAAAAUUCAUCUUCAGAGAAUAGUAGCUCCACCACGGUCACACAGCACACGGCAUUCGGCACUACAAGGUCAAUUUUUUCCCCCACAAAAUGGCUGACAUUAGAAACUCAGAGCACUGCAAUCCCAAACUUUCACCACAAGAAGAUUGAAUUGUAAAGCAAAGUUCUACAAGCUAGGCAACUAGGUCCCUCUGCUGUUAAGUAUUGACUAACACUUGACUUGGCUGAAGAGCAUGGCCAAAGGAUGGAUUAGAAAGAAAAACACAUUCCCCGAAGCGAGUCCACAAGGAGAAGAGCUUCUCACAAGAUCACAAAUUGGGGGAGCUCACUCGUCCAUAUCCUCUUCUCUGUCGGCUUCGGCCCCUUCAUCCUCCCUCCUGAGCUGACCGCAUACAUUACACUCCAUUAUAUCAGAAGGAGCAUCAUCCCACGGAGGCAGAGGAGCCAUUGUCCCGCCGCAGUUUUUCCUGUUGCACAUAUACCUGACGAAGAGAUACGCGUAGGGGAAGUCAGUCUCUUUCUCCUCUGCAAUACCCACCUCCGACCCACUCAUUUGUUCAUCGGCAUCCUCAUCCAUCCCUUCACUGUCACCAUCAUCAUCUUUGCCGAUAUCAUCGUGCUCGUUCUCAUCAUCGGACUAAUUGGCCUCGACCUUGCACCGAUCACAGUCGCAGGCGAACCCGUAGUCUUCCAUCAACCUCCUCUGCCUAUUCGCAUAAUUCAAGUUGACAGGAAAAUAACUCAGGCAGAUCUCCCUCCCUUGAGGGACAUCAUGGAUCAUCCGCACGAUUAUAUCACUAUUGCCAUCAGAAGCAGAGUCUACAUAGUCAAAUCUGCAAGCAUUUGGCAGGCAAUCGUGGUUGAAGAAAGAAGCUCUUGGAUAAAUACCGUAAGCUCUCACCGAUCUCUCCCCAUCCACCUCGCCCCCACCCCGCGACAAAACCGGCUCCAUCAAACCGAAAGCAUUGAGCUUGUCCUUCGACAGCAAGGCGACGAUCAAUUCAAGAGAAAACCCCAGAGGAAAAGGCGAACCCGGAGGAGGGGGAGGACAAACCGAGGCGAGCAGCGAAUGCAGGAACCGCGCGGCCGAGACGGUGUCGUCGGCGUGCGCCUCGCGGCCCUGGAGAGAGAGCAGUAGCUGAAAAUUGGAGGGAGAGACGGUGGCUAGAUUGCAAGCGGCGAUCAGGAACCGAGCCUGGACGUGGCGCUCGACAGGCUGGCCGUCGAGCAGGCGGGAAGCGACCAGGCGGGAGAGCGUCUGGCAGACCCAGGGGGUGUGCGACGUCGCGGCGGCGGCGGCGAGGCAGCCGGGGCCGCAGAACGCGUGGCGGCCGCACGCAGGGCACGGGGCCCCUGGCGGCGAGGAGGACGGAGGCAAGAUUCUGAAGCAGUGGUCGCAGUAACAAGCAGCUGAAGAAGAAGAAGAAGAGGAAGAAGGAGGUGGUGGUUUGGUGAGGGGAAGAGCAGAGUAGAGAAGAAUAGGAGAGUCCCUGAGGACGAUUUGGCCGCCGCGCAGCGGCCGCGCCGCCACCAGGGCCAGCCCUCUGCCGUCGAUCUCGGCGAGGUUCAGCAGCGAAGCUGCUCCGUCCGCCAUUUCCAGAGCUUUGUUUGAGCAAGCUUUAGGGUUUCUUUCCGGGUCAAGUGCCCGCGAAAUUCUUUUUUAUUUCCUUCGCCAGCCCAGGAAAAAUGGGAAAUCACAAUAGUGAACUUCUGCCUGGGGUCCCUCGCGGCUCCCGGGUCUCGCUUAACAUGAAUUUGACUAAGCCUAGGCGCCGAAAUGGAAAUUGAACUGAAUCACUUUUCUUUUUUUCAAAAGAAAGUUUCAUUCAUUUGUCAUAAUCAUAGGAACAUAGAAAAGUUCCAAGUUCCAAGCAAAGCAACUCACAAAAGAGCCGCAAGACAAAACGAAACAAAACCCAUAAAACAAAAUAAUACGGCUUAUAGUUAGCUCUCGUCCCAAAAGACUCGAUCUAUUACAGUAUUAAAAAUCAAUUGGCAGUCAAUCACCAAAAUCAUCAGUAAUGGGCAUCCGACAAGAUCUUCCCAUCCAGAAACUGGCAUGGCAUCCUCAACACUAUUGCUAUACUAAAACAACAACAAUAAUAUUUUGAAUCAUCACAAAUCUAACACUUCUAAGAAACUUCUAGAUGUAGAUUAGAACAAGAAAUAAAAGCUCUCAUAUUCAAAUUUACACCUAAAACAAGAGAGAAUAGAUUACACCAAAUCCAAAAAUCAUAAAACCAUGUCCUCAGCAUCCUAUUAGCUAGAUUUGUGACAAUUUUCUCACAAAUUUUUCAAUUACAAGUAGAUUUUUUUCUAUCAGUAACUAUAAGUAGGGGUGUAAGUGAUUUAGUUCAAUUCGGUUUUUUUUUAAACAAAUCGAAAAAAAUCGAACCAAAAGGAAAUUUAUUGAACCAAACCGAAAUCCAAUCAGAACCGAACUGAAAGCCUAGUUCGAUUCGAUUCAGUUUGGUUUGGUUUUCAAUUUUUACUUUUAUUUUUGUUUUUUUCCUACAUGCACCCCCUUCAAUAAAUUUUUUAUUCUUUAAAAAAAAUCGAUUUUUAAAUUAUUUUUAUUCUUUUAUUUUUUCUUCAUUUUCUUUCGUUUUCUUCUUCUUCUUUUUCAUUGGCCAAUCGCCGACUACAUCAUUGAUUGGCAACUAGCCAGCUGGUGAGCUCGAGCCUUGCUAGCUUGUGGCAAGGCUCGAGCCCUGCCUAAGUGGCCAAAUCUGACAAGGCUCGAGCUCGCCAAUGUCAAAUAAGUUUGGCCUCGUCUAAUCAAGCAAGGUGGAGCUGUUGUCCUCAAGCCUUGCCAGCCUGUGGCGAGGCUCUAAUCACCUCUGGCUAGUUGUAAAAAAAAUUAAAAAAUGAAUAAGAAGAUCGCCCAAUGAUGAAUAAGAAGGAAAAAAAAUUAAAAAAAAUGAUUUUUUAACAAAAUAAAAGGAAAAAAUUUUAGAUUUUAUUUGUUUGGUUUGGUUAACCAAACUGAUAAAAACCGAACUGGUUAAAAAAAAUCGACUUUUAAUGAGAAUCAAAUCAAAAAAAAAAAAAUGAACUUUUUUGGUUCCAUUUUUGACACCCCUAGCUCUAAGCAGAUUUAUUCACGACAGUGAGAGAAAAGAGAGCCGUAUUAGACCAAGAGAAAGAAAAAAAGAAAAGAAAAUCGAGGCCCAGAAAAGAAAAGUAUAUCAAAGCAGGCUAAAGUUUAGAGUCUGUAGGUGAAAUUUUUUAAGAGGAAGGAUUUUUUUUGGGGAGAUAGAAAAUUGCCGAGAGAAAGAGAUUGGGGUUGCGUCUAUCUUGUUUGAAUCAUAUAGAGCAUUUCUUUCGUGGAAAGUAAAUGCUAUGGAAUAAAUUUUCCAAAAAAUUAAUCAUUGUAUUGCUUACAAAAAUGAAAGAAUGAAAAAAAAAUCAUCAUUUACAAAAAUAAUUAUAUAUAAAUUAUUUUUAUCAACUGAUUAUUUUAAGCUUUGACAAAAAUAAAAUAAUUAUUUCAAGUGUGAUAAUUUUUUUAACAAUGUUUUUCAAAUAAUUUAUUUUUCGCAAAAAUAAUGUAGUCUAAGUUAGUUCAAUUUGAAACAAAUAGAUUAUCGUCAAAGGAGAGGUAAAUCUUAUUGAAUUAAUUUCAUUGAUUAAUCGUAUGCUUGUCAAAUUUCAAAUUAGAUAUGUGACACCGCAAGUAGAAGCAUCCAUAUGAAUUAUCUCAAAUAGGUGAGAUAUCACUUUCGAUGUUUGAAUUCAUAGAUCCUUUUCAUUCGCAUUAUUAAACUUCUAGUCUGUCUAUUCAAAAUAUCGACUUGGCCUGACUUUUCUAAUCAAGUACAUUAAAUCUAGGGAAAAUCUCAAAUAAGGACCCAGAGUGAGCCUACUUUCUCAAAUAUAGAUCCGAAAUAACCAUUGUUCCAAAUAAGGACCUAAAGUGGCUAACAAGUCUCAAAUAAGGACCUGAACCCACCAACCGGCCAAAAUGUUCAUUGGCUGGUGAGCGUGUGACAUUUCCAGUGGCUGAAAUAUGAGCAAUUUUGUCCCAAAAAAUUAUAGAUAGAAAUUAACAAACCCUAAAAACAAAACCCCCAAACUCUUCACGUUCUUCUUCUUCCGCUCUUCAUCUUUUACGUUAUUUGUCCCCUCAUUUGGAGAACCCAAAUUCUCCGUUGAUGGAGCAAGAUCCCUGUCUCCCUAAGUUCCAAAUGUACAUGCCCUCCCUCUCUCUCUUUCAAUUUGAACGAAAUUGACCUCGGUUGAACGAGAGUGUGAAUGAAAGUGUACGGCAAACCUAGGAAAAGAUAAUGAAGAAUCGAGGCCCUCGUGUUACACACAAGUGUCUCAAUAACGAAAAGGUGGCUUUACUCAAGAUUUGUCUUCUCCAUUGGAAAGAAACGAAGACAGAAAACAAAAGAAGAAGAUGUGAAGAAACGAAGGUAGGGUUUCUUGUUGUGUUUCAAUUCGUGUUCCAUUAACAGAAAAUUUCCGUGCUCCAAGCGAGAGAGGACAAAGAACAGAGAAGAUGAAGAGCAGAAGAAGAAAAAUGUGAGAACAUGAAGAGUUUUUCUUUUUAGGUCAAAAGAACAUGAAGAGAUUGGGGGUGGUUUUUAGGGUUUGUUAAUUUCUAUUUCUAUUUUUUUUUUGGCACCAAAAAUGUCACAGUCUCGCCAGUCGGUGAACAUUUUGGCCGGCCGGCAAGUUCAGGUCCUUAUUUGAGACAAUAGCCACUUUUGGUCAUUAUUUGAGACAAUGGCCACUUCGGGUCCUUAUUUGAGAAAAUAGACUUACUUUGGGUUCUUAUUUGAGAUUUUCCCUUUAAAUCUAAUUACUUGAAAUUAGUGUGUUAUACAGAAUUAGAGGUUGACAAGAAUAAACUGUUUGGAACCAUUUAUUAUUUGCUAAUAAUCUUAAAAAUGAAGGUCGCAAUUGGAUCUCGAGUGACGAGAAAUCUCAACAUGAACACUUUCACUUGAGCUUUUAACUUGAAAACUCUCGUAAACUUACGAUAGACGCAAUUAGUCAAAUUACAAGUUUAGAGAAUUGAUUAAAGAAGAAAAUUCAAAGAUUCGAUUCGAAAACACAAAUGGCCAAGCUAAAAGAUUCAACGUUAUCAUUCUAAUAUCAUUUAUGCAUUACACUCUACUACGACGCAAAGUUCAUAGUUCCACGAGUCAAAAGUUUAAUUUUCAAACGAAACCAAAUCACGAAGCUUAUAAUAUAAAGUCCCCGGGCUCUAUGAAAUACUCGAUACGUUAGAAGUCAGUAAUGCUCUUGAUAUAAAGCUUUUGACUGUUCAAAAGAUUUCGCAAACGAGCACUUGUUAAAUAAUAAAAUUCCGGAAACUUUAGAGUUUCAAAUACAUGGGUUUUGCUCGUGUAAUAUGCAGAAUAAAGGAAUAAGAAAUUUCGCAUAUAUUGAUGUGUGUAAUGAAGAGCACAUCUGCAUAUUUACAGGCUUUAUUAAAUUACUAUCUAAGAUAAUAAAUUAAUCAAGAUAUACGCAUGGUCAAAGAAAAACUUGCUAAUAAAUAUCUAAUUAUUUCAUGCACCAAUCUAACUGAUGGGAUCGAGAUUACUAACAACAUAUGAAGGUUGGGAAUAGAAAUGGUUUUACUUUCUUCAAUACUAGAAAUGGUUUCAUCAGCAGCACUUUUGAGCCCAUUAAUUCAUAAUAGCCAAUAGUAAAUGUAGACUUCCUGAAGAGAAACCCCAAUAAAGCAAACUUAAAUUUUGGUAUGUGAAGACAAAAGAAUUAUGACAGGACUGAACUCUUGAAAACAAAAUGAAAAGCCAUAGAUAGUUUUCCUGUUAGCAAUAGCAUCAUAUAAUCAAAAUUAGAUUAAAUUUAAUCAACAAAAGUAAUCCAACCAACAGUUUUGGAAUAACAAAUAAAUGUAACAGAUAAGCAACAAGCUUUGUAACAGAACUAGCAACAACCUUUUUAGUUUAUUUAAUAGAUCCACUUAGUUGCAAAAUAUUGAAAGAAAAAACCUUAUUAGCAGGUCACACAACCAACAAACCUCCUAGCUACAAAAAAAAAAAAAAAAAAAAAAAAACUCUUAUUGUCGAUCAUGUCUAUGUUAUUAUUUUAUUAAGGCAAGGGAGUUUAAUCGAAACUCUGAUCUAACCAUAGGCGUUGGACUUCAUCUUUGGCCAUGCCAAUCAAUGUUGGCCGAUCUCCGUCUCCACUGAACAACACCUAGUCACUCGUUGGACUAUCACCAAACCAAACUUCGUCGACUACCGCAGGAAAAAGAAAAAACAGAGUAAACCCAGAAUUGAAGAAAGUGGACCUAGUUCAGGCAUUUUGUCAAUGGAUGGUGGGCGACUCAACUAGAUUGUUUAGGCUCAAAAUUUAGACAAUAAAUCACGCUAACUACACAUAAACAUCACAAACAUCACAUAUUUUGGGACACGACACCUCACGGAUUUCAUCCUUAAGUGAAUAGGAGUAGCAUGGCGAUUCUUACCUUUUGUGGGAGAGAAUCCGGUAGCAAUGGCAAGGGGAUACGCUAAUCUGUCUAGUGAAGACACGCGAGCGACCUGUGAAGGCGGAGAGGCUCGAGACCCAGCAGUCACAAGGUUCUUCUGCUUUAGCUUCAAAAUCGCUGGCGUUGUGCCCGAGCCCGAAAUCAAGAAUGAUCCACUCGCGGUUUCUAUUGCCCGAGCCAGAAAAGCAACGACCCCGACAAACGAAGCGAGCGGCGUGUGAAGGCAAAGAGGGCUCAGGACCCAGCACUUGAAAAACUUCUUCCGCUUUGGUGCCAACGCGGCCGAGCCCGAAAAUGAAACCGACCCACUCGCAGAUUAUAUCGCCGGAACCAGAAAGGCGACGAUGGCAACAAACAAAGCGAGCAGCGUGUGAGGGCCGAGAGGAGUCGUGACCUAGUAGCUGCAAUUUCUUCCGCAUUGGUGAGGAUGUGCCUGACCCAAAAUCGAAACCGAGCCACUCGUGGUUUCUAUCGUCAAAGCUCGAAAGGCGACGAUGGUGAUGAACAAAGUCGAAGUGGAAGGAGCGCAAGAGCAAGAGGGCGAGGGCGUGAGGGCUUGAGGUGAGUGAGGACCGGGAAGGAAGACGAAGAGCUCCAUGUUCAAACGUGAAAAGACCUGUGCAAGAGAGAGAGAGAGAGGAGCAGAGAGAAAGAGAGAGACAGAGGAGCCAUUAAUGGCCGCUCAGCCUACUGCCGCCUGCAACUUGCCCUAGAGGAGAGAGAGUAAUUUUUUUAUUCUAACUUUAGAUGACACGUGUCGUUUUAUUAGUGGACCUAAUAGAUAAGUAUAUGCCAGAUUGGUGGAUGACGUGGCGCUUAUGAACCACUGAAUAUUUUAUUAGAACUUUUUUUUUUAUAGUUAAUAUUUUCUUAGAACUUCAGGGACCAUGAAUUCAUCCCUCAGCACUCUUCACUCUUCCAUUCUCUCCCUCUCCCCAUGAAUUCCCCUCUUCUCUCACUCCUUUCAGCUUGAGAGGGGAAAAAAAAAAAAAAGCAAGAGCAAAAGACCCUCCAGAGCAGAAACAAGUGGAACCCGUGAAACUUGUGGAACUAUUUCUCCUGUGGAACCGAUCGAGUCCGACUCGAUUGCCCCACUUGACGAGAGCCUCCAGUUCAUGCCCUCCAACGACGACGAGGAGCAACGGUACUGGAAGAUGCGGUCCAUCUACAGGGUCCCUGCCCACCUCACUGCCCUCAACCGUGAGGCCUACCAGUCGUGAGUUGUCUCCUUCGGCCCCUACCACCACGGCAAGGACCACCUCCUCCCCAUGGAGGAACUCAAGCGCCGUGCGGUCCGCCACAUCCUCAAGCGGUCCAGGAAGCCUAUGGAGCGCUUCUUCGAGUCCCUUAGUGUGGUGGCGUGGGACCUCAAGGAGAGCUACGAUGCGUUGGACCCGAAGUGGAAGGCAAGCAGCGGUGAGGGCGCAGAACCCCUGUUCCUGGAGGUGAUGAUAACUGACGGCUGCUUCAUGCUCGAGAUCCUGAGGUUCUCAGCCAACGAGGUGCACGACUACGCGGCCAACAACCCCAUCUUCAGUAAACAUGGGAGCACCCACAUAAUGUCACACAUUUGGCAGGAUAUGCUGUUGUUAGAGAAUCAGCUUCCAAUGCUAGUGCUGGAUCGGCUGGUGGCUGUCGAGAACGAUGGCGAGAAGGUUACUUUCUUAGAUUUCGGUCGGUUGUAAGACGAGAAAAUAUUGCAAGUAUGCAAACCGCCAUACUAUGUGCACCUAACAAUACAUCUUUGUGAUCUCACACCCUACGAUGGAUCCACCGAAUCUAAUGCUCUAAAUACAUUGAUCGCACAGUUCAAAAUCACCCGAUAAUUUGAUUAGUAAAUCCAUCACAGAAACUUCAUUUAUUUCCCUUUUUCGCAAGUAGUAUCAAUAUGACCACAAUCUCAGAUUCAAUGUACUAAUGUCACUCGAACAACACAAGACGACAAAUUCGUCAGCAGGCUCCUCCUCAAGUUCUUCUCGUUCCAGAGCAAGGCAUCACAAGGAUGGGCAAAUGCUUGCACGUCCUAGACGUUUUCAGGAACAGCAUGCUGAUGGAGCCCGAGAAGAAGGACAAGGAGUUUACUUUCUUAGAUUUUAGUCUAUCGUAAGAGAUAUUGCAAGUAUGCUAACCGUUGUACUAUGGGCAGCUAACGAUACAUAUUGGUCAUCUCACCCUAAGAGGGAUCCACUGAAUCUAAUGCUCCAAAUGCAUUGGAUGCACGGUGUUGCGAAAAGGUGAGCGAUCGAACAAUAAUAUAGACAUAAGAAGAAAAUAAAUUGGACACCAGAUUUACAUGAUUCAGUCAUAAAGACUUACGUUCACAGGGAGAGCAGCAGCGAAUUUCACUAUAGAUCAAGCGAUACAAGAAGAUUACACACUCAAGUCACUCAAACACUCUCUCAGUGUUUCCCAAGCCCCAAUUACACCCAAUAAUGCACGUAGUGUUUAGCCCCGAAAUUCCUCAAUAAAUAAUAUUUCAAUCUCACAAAGGAAUUACACGCAAAUCUUACCAUAAGAUUUAAUUGGCAUGAACACUAAAUUUUCUUGGAUGUAAUUCACAAACAAGAAUGACAGAGAAAAUCCCUCCCAAGCACUCGACGACGAGACGACGCUUCAAGACCAAUUCUUCACGAUCAACCUUCUUCCAUCCAUGGCCACAAGUCUAUAUAUAUAUAUAUAAGUGAUUUGCAACUUCUCAUAAGAUUUUGUUUCAUAUCUUGGAUGAUUUUAUCCAAAACAUAUCUCUGUAUAUUUUAAACAAAAUCCAAGUCCUAGUCAAAGUUGGACUUUCCUAUUUUAGCGGCCAAAUUCUCCAAUGCAUAUUCAAACUUUGGGAAGUUGAUCUUUGGAUCUUCUUUGCUCAAUUUCGAACAUCCGCAACAUAUACAAUUCAGAAUAUUUGGAAUUUCACAUUGAACUCAAACUCAAGACAUAAUUUAACAAUCUCCACCUUGGCUCGAUGUUUGAGCCAAGUCACAAUCGCUUUGCGAAAAUUCAAACUCUGCUGCUAUUCUUCCAUAGCCCCCGAUGGGCUCAACCGCCAUAGAUAUUAUCCAAGUCCAAGCUUCGCUUGAACUUCGCCAUAACUGAGGACCUCAUUAGAAUACCAACUCCACAUGCACCUUUAACUUUAACUGCUCCGCAAGAAUUUUCCAACGCAACCUCCUCAACUGCAAAUAAAGUAAAACCAUUGUUGCAUCCAUAUCUGUUAGAAGAUCGAAUAUGUACCUUGUUAAUUUCAGUAGUUACAGCAACCGUUGGCUCUAUAAGCUCCACCUCGCUACAAGCACCAUCUGUGUCAAUUACUUUGCUAGUACUCAUACUCACCACCUCAGGAGUUUCUUGUCGCAACUUCACCUCAAGCUGAACACCAUCCAGAUCCGUAUUAACACUGCCACAAAUACUCAUAGCCAGAAGUAUUGGAGACUUAUCAAGGAGAACUUCUUUGCUAUUAACAGGUGAAUUUAUAUCUUGGCACCACAACCGAUCGCCCCACUCACCUUGUGCAUAGCCAUGGAAUAUGCACCUUGCCCUCCAAUCGAGCUUACCAUCACUCACUUGAAAAUAACACGAGCAACCAAACAUUCUAAUAAUAGAAUAACCAGCAACGUUACCUGACCAUACUUCUUUAGGAGUCCGCCAUUCAAUAGCAGUUGAUGGGGAUUUAUUCACCAAACAGCUUAUUGUACUAAGUACAUCAGUUAGGAUUCUCCUAGCAAAACCAGCACUAGAGAUAAUUUUUUGGGCCGUCUCUAGUAAUGUUCUGCUCAUCAAUUUUGCAAAUUGUUGUGAUUUAUCGGCACUAGUGCGGUGUUUCACUAUGCUCUCUUUCAUGUAGAAUUUAUUUGCCAGCUUUGAGCAAAACUCCAUGCUAUUGUCAGUCUGCACAUGCUUGAUCGACUUACCAGUCUCCAUCUCGAUCAAAGCUCUUGACUGUAAGAUCCUGACACCGGCAUCAAACUUUUGCCUUGGCACAAACACCCAGGUCUUCCUCAAGCAGUCAAUAAACUCUCGAACAGAUGCAUCCGACGUCUCCGGGGCGAAAUCUGUCAUUGUCUUACCUUGAAGUUUAUACAGGCCUCCGUGCUUGAUUCAUUUCAUUAUCACCAAGGCACCUCGAACAACCUUUAGAACUCCACCUUUUGAAGAAUACCUGCAACUAGCCGAAUCUAGGGCACCCAAGGAAAUUAAGUUCUUUUUCAAUUCUGGAACGUGUCUUACUCCAGUCAAUGUCCUCACAAUACCAUAAUGCAUUUUGAUUUUAACAUCACCAACACCCACAACAUCACACUCACCGUUGUUCCCUAAGUGGACUUUACCACUACCCGUGUACUGAUAAGUGAUAAACCGGUUUCUAUUUAGUGUGACAUAAAAAGAACAACCAGAAUCCAAAAUCCAUCCAUCAAGCGAUGAAUCAUUAGUGACAUACAAGACACAAUCGACAUUAUCAGCUAUAGCUGCAAUAUUAUCUGCAGAAUCAACUAUAAUUCCCUUACCCUUCUCAUUUUUUAACUUAAGACAAUCCCUUCUAAGAUGCCCCCUCUUGCCACAGCUCCAACAGACAACAUCACCAGUCCUAGACUGACUACGCCUGUUCAUAUUAGUACUACUCUUACCCACACGCGUUCUAGAUCUUCCUCUAUUUUCACCUACUAAAGCUGCAGAUACAUCUUCACUAGAUUCUCUUCUACAGAUGUCCUCGCUCAGAAUCAAAUCUCGAAUCCCAUCAAAUGUCAAACUUGUUGACUCAGAGGAAUUACUAACGGCAGUAACAGUAGUAUUACAACUAUCAUGCAAUGAGGAUAACAGAAUCAAAGCACGUACCUCAUCUUCAAAGUCAAUCUCAACUGAACUCAAUUGACUGACAAUCACAUUGAAUUCAUUGAUAUGAUCUGCAACUGACGCACCUUCGCUCAUCUUCAAAUUAAAUAGACGUCUCAUCAAAUCGACCUUGUUGAUCGCAGAGGGCUUCUCAUACAUAUCCGACAGGGCUUGCAUCAAAUCAGCGGUGGUCUUCUCCUUCAAGAUAUUAAACACGACGUUACGAGCCAACGUUAGCCGAAUUACACCCAUAGCUCGUCUAUCCAGCAAAUCCCAAUCAGCUUGCUUCAUCGUCUCUAGUUUCUCCCUAUAUAAGGGCAAGUGUAGUUUCAUCUGGUAAAGAUAAUCUUCAAUCUACAUUUUCCAGAAACUAAAAUCCUUCCCAUCAAAUCUGUUGAUUCUCACUUUUACUUCUUCUAUCGCCAUCGAUUUGCUUCAACUUAGCCAAGCCUGGCUCUGAUACCACUUGUUGCGAAAAGGCGAGCGAUCGAACAAUAAUAUAGAUAGAAGAAGAAAAUAAAUCGGACACCAAAUUACGUGAUUCAAUCGUAAAGACCUACAUCCACGGGGAGAGCAGCAGCGAAUUUCACUAUAGAUCAAGCGAUACAAGGAGAUUACACACUCAAGUCACUCAAACACUUUCUCAGUGUUUCCCAAGCCCCAAUUACACCUAAUACCGCAUGUAGUGUUUAGCUCCGAAAUUCCUCAAUAAAUAAUCUCUCAAUCUCACGAAAGAAUUACACGCAAAUCUUACCACAAGAUUUAAUUGGCAUGAACACUAAAUCUUCUUGGAUGUAAUUCACAAACAAGAACGACAAAGAAAAUCACUCCCAAGCACUCGAUGACGAGACGGUGCUUCAAGACCAAUUCUUCACGAUCAACCUUCUUCCAUCCAUGGCCACAAGUCUAUAUAUAUAAGUGAUUUGCCAACUUCUCAUAGGAUUCUGUUUCCUAUCUUGAAUGAUUUUAUCCAAAACAUAUCUCUGUAUAUUUUAAACAAAAUCCAAGUCCUAGUCAAAGUUGGACUUUCCUAUUUUAGCGGCCAAAUUCUCCAACGCAUAUUCAAAUUUUGGGAAGUCGAUCUUUGGAUCUUCUUUGCUCAAUUUCGAACAUCCGCAACAUAUCCAAUUUGGAAUAUUCGGAAUUUCACAUUGAAUUCAAACUCAAGACAUAUUUUAACACACGGUUCUAGAUCAAUCGACAAUUUGAUGAUUAAAUCUUUUUCCCCCUUUUACUCAAGUACUAUCGAUCCAACCACAAUCUCAGAUUCAAUGUACUGACGUCACUCCAACAACACAGGAUGACGAAUCCGUCAACAGGUUCAUCCUCAAGUUCUGUUCCUCUAGCAAGUGCAUCACAUGGAUGGGCAAAUGCCUGCACGUCCUAGACGUUGUCAGGAACAGCAUGCUAAUGGAGCCCAAGAAGAAGGACGAGGUGAAGAGGGAGGACAGUGGGGACAUUAUACAAUUGGCCUCGGCCACCGAGCUCAGCAAGCAUGGGAUCAAGUUCAAGAGGAGUAAGACCGACAGCAUCAAGGACAUCUCAUUUGCAGGUGGGGUCCUGACGCUUCCCAAGAUCCUUGUGGAUGAAAUCACCAUGUCUGAUUUCUUCAACCUCAUGGCGUACGAGUACCUCCAUGUCGAGACUGAAAACAAGGUUAUGUUCUACAUCUACUGCAUGGACCAAAUAAUCAACAACGGGCAGGACGUCGCGCUCCUCCGCGCCCAGGGUAUCAUCGUGAAUUUUCUGGAGAGCGAUGAGGCAGUAGCCAAGAUGUUCAACUCGUUGGGCAAGGAUGUGGUGAUCAACCACAGCCACAGCCUCUGGGACGUGCUCGAGAAGGUCAACAAGUACCGCAAUAAGCACUGGAACAGGUGGAGGGCUAAUCUCAUCCACACCUACUUCAGGAAUCCUUGGGUUGCAUUGUCUCUCAUUGCUACUGUCUUCCUCUUUGCGCUCACCAUAAUUCAGACUGUAUAUUCCGUGCUCGACUACUACAAAUGAACACUAUGCCUCUUAGUACAACAGUAUAUUGUCUUUUUUCCACUUUUUUGGUUUUUCUCUUGAUGACAGAUGCUCGAUCAUCGUCUCUUGAUCGGUUUGGGUUGUUAUGAAUGAUUUUCAUCCUACUUUCAGUCAUGUUCAUAUCCCUUUUCAAUGUUUUGAAUGAUGGACAUUUUUAUUUAACAUUAUCAAAUGAUGAUUCUCUUGUUUCAUUCUCCUUCAUGUUAGUCCAAUUUGAAUUAGGUAGGGUGAAGGAUGAUCAAAUUUUAGGCAGACGAAAUCUACCUUUGCAACAUUUCUUCUUGAUUAAAAUUUGUUAAGUUUUAGUUAAUUUAAGUGAAAACAAAUAUGGCCUUCAAAGUCAUCUCUAAUCACCAUUUGCUUCAAACAUCCUAAAAGAACCAAGUGUUUGAUGUCGAUACCUAAAUUAUGGUUAAGUAUUUAUGAUAAAAAUUGCAUAAAAAAAUCAGGGACCAACUGGACCUUAACAAAAAGGAUUUUUGCAUCACUUAGGUCUUAGUUUUAUUUUACUAUAUUUUUGGAUUAAAAAAAAAAGUGAGGCCUGUGCAAAUUGGGCCUUCUCGCCCAGCCCCUCCUUUUUUCCCUUCCGCGUGGGCUCGGGUCCAUCUGGCCCCAGCUCCCCCCUCACGGCCCGGCCCGGCCCGGCCCUCUCGUUCAUCUUCUUCCUCCUACCUUCCUUGCGCUGCACGCCACGUGCAUAGGGCAACCUAGACAAAGCAAGAAGGGCCGAGGACGGUGAUGCAUGUGGAGCAACGUGAGGAUCGGCAGAAGACCCGGACAGAUGGGCGGGCGCCUUCAAUGUGGUAGAGGAGGUGGCCUAGCUAGAGCUGCCUCGACGAGUGGGAUGCUAGUUCGGCAGGGGGAGGACGGUUGGAGCGCCGAAGACCGACUAUCGAGGAGCCACCGCCGACCGGCCCCCCUUGGCCUAUGAAUAAGGCGUCGCGUGGAGGCCAAAAAGACACACAAAGAGAGACAUAGAAGUAGCGAGCUCCGACCCCCCCUCCCGAGAGUCAUAUGGGGCAUCCCGAGUGAGCGAAUCCGAGAGAGAGAGAGAUUUGAGUUUGAGAGCUGUGAGUGAGGGUCAAGGGCAAGAUCUGAACUAUAAGAGAGGGAGGAGAGAUUUGAGAAGAAAAAAAAAAUCCAGAUCCGAGGGAGAGAGAGGGAUGCGAGGACCCGGCCUUGCCGCCGCGUGCAGCACUGGCUGCUUGGCCCAAUGUCGCCGCUGUGCAACCAUCGACAAUGAGGCCUGCUCUUGUUGCUCCCAUCGCCGCCCGCCGCCUAUAGCCGUUGCCUUUCUGUCCCACGACGACCCAGCCGCCCACUAGGCUCGACCGAGCCCCUGCAUCUGUCGAACCCGCCGUCGCCUCUUCUGUCGAUCCACCACCCGGUGACUUCCCAGUUGCCCCCAUCGGCAUCGUAGAGAGACAGAGAAGGAGAGAGGUGCGAGUCGGGUCAGAGCUGGAUCGGGCACAGGUCAUAAUCAGGUAGGGCUUUCACUGCUAGGAGAGAGAAAUGGGCUGGGCUUGUGAUUUUUUACUUUGUUUUUGGUCUCGGCCAAAUUCGCGGGCCAAGCCUCACCUUUCAUUUCCUUCACGGCUGAAGGGCACGGUUGGGUUGGGCCCAUUCGCAGAAACCAACCCAGCCAGAGGCUUGCGCGACUCGCUCGGGCCAUGUUCGAUCGGGUCGGACGCAGAGUUCCGACUCGAAUCCAUUUAGAAUAUGAUAUAUUCUUAUUAUAAUAUUAAAAAAUAUUUUAAUAAAGAAGAAAAAUCCAAAAAAUGAUUUACACUUUAAAAAAAAUGGAAAAACCCAAAAAUAUUUUAUAUUUCCCAAAAAUCAGAAAAAUAAAAAAUAAUCUUCAAAAAAAAUCAAAAAUAGCUUAAAAUAGCCUUUGAGUGGUUUUUCUUAAAAUAUUUUAAAAUACUUAACAAAAAAAAUCAAAAAAAUUCCAAUUGCACCCUUAUGAUACAUGGAUUUCUAUUUCCUUAAUUUGAUUAGAAAUUGAAUCCUAAAAUUCGUAAUUAGUAUAAAAUGCUGCAUAAAUGCUUUACUUGAUAUUAAAAUAAGAUUAGGUAUUGGAAGGAUAUUAAUAAUUAACUAAUGUAAUCAAAUCUCUUAUCCUAAUUUCUCUUAUUGUGCUGGAAUGAAAUAAAUCUAAAUUGAUUAAUGACGACUUCAUAAUGAAAUCGACUUACAAGUUAAAAAUUUGAACCAUAAGUCAUAAAUCGGUAGGCUUGGGAGAGCCUGCACUAAACCCUAUGCUUAGCGAGCCAUUAACCUCCGCUCUCACCAGCGCGUAAGAGGUGCUAAAAAGGGAGGUCACGACAUUUUAUUGUUGAUCUCAAUGUAUAAUUUGUUGAAAUGAUUUCCACAAUAUUAAAGAUAUUACAAAGCAUUACACUUCAUAAGGAAACAUACAAUAAUAUAAAUAAUAAAGCUGUAAAUCCCUUGAUUUUAAUAUAUUCGAGAAUCUGCUUGUGAUUUUCAUUGACAUUUUCAUAUUCUUCUCUCUUGAUUGAUAAAUCAAUGCCUUAACUCCCCCUUCAAAUUGGGAAUGGGACAAUCCCAAAUUCUCAAUUUGCAACGUAAGUUUCCAAAUGCGUUUUUAGAAUAAUAGCUUCGUGAAGAGAUUAACAAUUCGAUGCACAAACAAAACAUACAUAGUCACAAAAGUUCCACGAGUCACUUUUCCUCUCACAUAAUGAUAAUCUAAUUCGAUAUGUUUAGUUCUUGCAUAUAACACAACAUUAAUUAACAUAUGAAUUGCACCGAUAUUAUCACAAAAUAAUAUUGAUGGACUUAAGAGAUGAAUACCUAAAUCUCUUAAAAGGAAAGAUAUCCAAACAAUCUCAGCUAUUGUCAACCAAUUGCAUGAUACUCUAUAUUGGCACUAAAUCGAGCAAUCGUUCAUUGCUUCUUAGCACUCCAUAAUAUAUAGUUACUAUAGGCACAAAAUAUCAUAGUCAACCGUCAAGUCAAGUAGCAAUUUGCCCAACUUUCAUAACAAAAGGCAUACAACUCUAUAGUUAACUUGGACAAGAUCCGCAUUUCUUGAUUUAUUGUGCCAUUGACAUAGCGCAAAUGUGCUUCACAAUUUGAAAAUAAGUCACAGUAGGCCAAUGCGUGAAUUGAGAUAUAAAAUUGACCGCAUAUGAAAUAUCUAGAUGUGUGAUGGUGAGAUAUUAAAGAGUUCUGACAAUACUUUGAUAUAAUGUGGGAUCCAAAAAUAAUUUUGCAUUUGAGAGAAUUGAGUGCAAGUGGCUAUAGGCGUGGAUCUUGGCUUGCAAACAUCCAUUUGAGCACAUUUUUUUUUUUGGUCGAAUCCAUUUGAGCACAUUCAAAAAUUGACAAAGCAUAUGUGGUUGGCACAAAUAAAGAUGAUCAAAUAAUAUUCUAACCUCCACAACCAAAAAGUAAUAUAAUGGCUCUAUAUCCUUUAUUGUAAAUUCACUACUCAAUGAAGAAAUAAAUCCAUCAAGCAAGUUUGGAUCAUUACUAAUGAUAAUCAUAUCGUCCACGAAUAAAAGUAGAGCUUGAAUGCCAUGAUCUGAUUUUUGAAUGAUCAAGGAAGGAUCUACAUUGCUGCAAAAGAAACCGAAUGCUAAAAGAAACAAGCUAAAAUGAUCAAACCAUGCUUUUGAUGCUUGCUUGAUUCCACACAAAGCUCUCUCAAGUUUGCAAACACAAUACAAGUUUUUUGGUCCUCAAAACACGGCAGUUGCUCCAUAUAAAUAGAUUGUGACAGAAAUAAAUAUCUAUAUUAAAAAUAAAAAAUAAAAAUUGACCAAAAAAAUAUUAAAAAUGAAAAACAACAAAUGGGGAGUAGAUUAAAAAAGAAAAAAAAAUCAAAGCCCACUUGCAUCAAUCGUACACUCUCACUACUCUCCCUCCUAUACAUCCGAAAAGACCCUCUUUUCAUCUAAUUUAUAGAUAUGUGAAACAAAAUUUUCAUUGGACCCUCAGAAAAAUAUGCAUCCACGGGAAAAAAAAAUGUUGAUAUACAGACAAUGAUAAUUUAUAAUAACUUUUCUAAUAUAACUAAGUACGAUGUAUUAUAUAAUGGGAUGAGAUAACCAUACUUUUUAAGUUUCUACUUUGAGUUAUGCAAUAUCAAUUUUGCAGACUUUAAUCAUCAAAUUGAUUUGAAAUGCCUGUGUUUGUCAUGUUUGGUGCAUGAGGACCUAUAAACUGCACAAUGACUCGUCUGCAGUCUCACACUCUGUUCAAUGGAUGUAAAGGCUAUUGUUAAACUUGGAUUACGGUCUUUGCCUAUUUUGUUGUAUUUUAUUAAUUAAUCCAUGAUGGGGUGCGAUUGGCACGCACCAUUUCGACUUGAUAUGCUACAAUGAAGGGGUGUGAUGGGGUCAUAUAAAAGACCCCUGAAGACAACCGUUGGAUGGCUUGAACGAACCUACGUUCAGAAAGUUUUCUUCCUUUCUCUCCCCUUUCCAUCAAGACGUUCCAUUCCUUCUUUACGAGAACAAUUUGCAUUUACGCCGUGAAAAUCGGGUGCUUUCCUUAUGAUCGCAUCCAGACCAAUGUGAGGUAAUAUUAUUCAUAUUUUAUCAGCAAUUCAAUGUUCGUUCCGGGGCUAAUUGUUGUUUGCGCAUCGGAUAAAGGUAAGUCGUCUUCCGCCGACUCGAAUUCCAACAUUGGUAUUAGAGCCCGGUCGCGAUUUCUGCCUUGUUUUUUCAUUGAGUUUUCUCGUUUACCAUUUGAUAUUGAGAUCAAGAGUAUAAAAUAUAACACUGUUUGGAUGUCUAAUGGUCGGAAUUGCCAUCUGAAAACUCGAAAUCGAAUCGAAACGAAGAACGGGUUUGAGGUUGUGUACACCCGUACGAUUUUCGCCUUUUUUCGAAAUAAUUUUUUGGCCAAAAUUAAUUUUUGAAUAUACAUGGUGAAAGAGCUCGUCGAGACGAGUCCGACGAUGGGUCGAGCGCCGCCAAAGGACGUCGAAUGCGCCUACACGCACGGCCAGAAGCCGCUACGCGUGGGCGUCAUGCGCCUAAAGCACUGGGACGACCGGCGCAUGCGCAACACGUGCCGGUUGGCGAACUAGCGCGUGUGACCGGCGCGUACGCAACACUCGCCGGACGACGAACCGGCGCGUGAUGACAUCUUUGUGACGUCAUCCAAUGGUUAGGAUGACGUCAUCGCCGGUAGCGGUUGGCCGGCCGGUCAUCGGCCAACGACUGACCCGACCCGAGGUUGACUCGACCCGACUCGACCGUUGACAGUUAAUGGUCGGACCAGUUAACCAGUCCAGCAGUCAAACCGAUCGGACCGGUCAACCGGUUCGGCGGUCAAAUCGAUCGGACUAGCUAGGAGCCGUUUAGCUCACUGGCGCGUGCGUCAGGCUGCGUGUGGAUGCGUGCGAGCUCCGAUUGGAGCGUGGUCGGUGGCGUUUGGUUCGUAUGGAUGUUCUCUAUACUGUGGUAUAAUUAUUUUUCAAUUUGGAAUUUUAUAAAUGUAUAAAAAUGUGUAGGAAACCCUAAGUACGUGUAUUUUUUUGGGAUUUAAUGUAUAGUUUAUUCAUUUGUAACUUGUAUUUUCUUGUGGUUUAGGAAAUACAGUAACUAGCUUGUGUACAAAUGAUGUCAUAUAUGCUAUGUAGAGCUUGGUUCGAUAAUAUCAUGAAUAUACUUGCAAUUUUCUAGUUGCUAGAAAAUUCGAACAAUGGUAGGAAAUUUAUUACAUGUUGAAUUGCGAUUUUAAUUAUAGUUGAAGCAUGAUUGUUGUUUGUACAUUGGUUCAUAUCAUGCUAUGUUUUUAUGUUAAUGGAAAAAUAUAGAAAUUACAUGAGGUCAUGUAAUUAUUUUAUCUAAUGGGAGUUCGUAAGUUGGUAGAAUUCGAAGGAGUUCUCACCUAGAACUUAAAAUUUGUGCAAAUUAAACUAAUUAAUGAUAAUAGAACAAUUGUACAUAGAAGUUGAUUGGGAACAUAGUGAACUUUUGCUUUUGUGUCUUUUGUUGAAUUAUCAUUAAUUUAGUUUGUCUUUACUGCAAAUUAAAUAUGUGUGUUACUCUGUAAAGUGUGCUAGUAUUGAUUCUGUGUUUAUUAUAUCAAUGUGUUAUAGCAAUUGAUUAUAGCUUCAGCAUCCAAGACCAUUGUGGCUGACCUUAAUAAGGGUGAGAAGUUGAACGGUGACAAUUAUGAUAUUUGACACCGAAAGGUUCAGUACAUUAUUGAGGAGCAAGAGGUUUUGGAAACCCUCAACCAUACCAUGGAUGAAUCUGAGUGUGGAAUUUCAGCUUAACAUGGGAGAGAUCUAGAAGCUUAUCAAGCUUGGAAAAAGAAAAAUAGCAUUGCUCGCAUCACGUUGUUGAGCUGUAUGCAAGAUAAUCUCAUGUGUGAGUUUGAAAGUUAUGAUAAAGCUCAAACUAUGUGGGUUGCCUUGAAAGAUAAGUUUGGGGGUACUAAGCUGAGAAGACUAAGCUGAGGAGACUCACCAUCAAGUUUGACACAUUCCGAAAGUGCCCAAAUGUAACGAUGAGGCAGCAUCUUCGGGAGAUGUCAAAUAUGAUUCGUGAGCUGAAGUCAGCAGAUCACUACCUUACUGAUGAACAGCAAGUUUAGGCUGUUAUAAGGUCUCUUCCUAACAAUUUGGAGCAUAUGAAAAUAAUAUGACGCAUAAUGAGAAUAUUGUCACUUUUAAUGAUAUUGCGCGUCACUUGGAAUUAGAGGAUGAGCGUUUAGAGGUUGCGAGAUCCUCUACCCAUACUUAUGUUGCUAAAUCGAGUUCACGCAAAGCUUCGGGCUUCAAGCGCAAGAGGAAUUUUCAGUUUAACAAUAAAGGGAAGAAGACUGAUCAUGCAUCAAAAAGGGCUAAGACCUUCCGACGCAAAAAGCGUGGUGGGAAGAAUGACAAGGCCAAGAUGGAGUGCUACAAUUGUGGCAAGAUGGGUCACUUUGCUCGUGAAUGCACUAAGCCGAAAAAGGCACCCUAUUACUCCAUUACUUUGAGUAAUGCUUUUGUUUCUAGUACUAUAAUGCUUGCUGAAUCUCAUCUAAUGUAGACUGUAGACUUAGGAGCAACAAACCACGUAGCUAGAGACCGAGAAGCAUUUGUGGAGUAUCGUCGAAUACAGUCUGGAAGAAGAUGGAUAUAUGUUGGGAAUAACUUAAAAGUUGAAGUGAAUGGUAUCAACACAUGUAAAUUAAUCUUACGUGGUGGUCGAAACAUAUUCCUGCAUGAUGUUCUUUAUGCUCUUGAUAUUCGACGAAACUUGGUCUUUGUAGUUGUUCUUCUUAGCUUAGGUUAUGUAUCGAAUUUCUAUGGUGAUUAUGUUGACAUUUUGUAUUGAACAGUUUAUUAUGGUUCAGGUCAUAUAUCGAAUGGUUUUAUGGCGUUAGACAUUGACUAUGAUCAGUACAAUGUUAAUGUCGAUGGUUAUUUUUCUUUAAUUGUAUCUUCUAAUAAUGUUGAGAUUGAUGCAAGUACUUGGCAUGCUAAAUUAGGUCAUAUUGGAUUGCAAAGAGUGCAAAGAUUAGCUAGAGAAGGCCUUUUAGGGUCACUCACUAAUGUUAGUCUAUCCGUAUGUGAACAUUGUCUAGCGGGAAAAGCAACUAGAAAACCAUUUGGUAAAGGGACUAGAACUGAAUUUCUAUUGCAUCUCAUACAUUCUAACAUUUGUGGUCCUUUGAAUGUGAGGGCGAGGCAUGGAGCCUCAUAUUUCCAUCACUUUCAUAGAUGACUUCACACGUUUCGGUUAUGUCUUUCUGAUCUCCCAUAAGUCAGAAGCAUUAGACUGCUUUAGACGAUAUAUAGCGAUGGUAGAGAAUCAAUUGAACAAAACAAUAAAGGUAUUGAGAACCGAUCGUUGACGUGAGUAUUUAUCGGAGCAAUUCAAGGCUCUUUGUGAUGAAGGAGAAUUGUACAACAAUUGACUAUUCUUGGUACUCCACAAUAAAAUGGGGUGGCUGAGAGAAGGAAUAAAACCCUAUUGGAAAUUGUUAGGUUUAUGAUGGCGCAAGUAAAUCUACCUAUCUCCUAUUGGGGAGAUGCGUUAUUGACUGCUGCCUAUAUACUUAACCGAGUGCCCCCAAAAUCAGUCACUUUCACCCCUUAUGAAUUAUGGACUGGUAGGAAACCAGACUUGAGUAAUCUAUGUCCAUGGAGAUGUGCAACUUAUGUUCAUGAUUCUUUCCAUAAAUAUGACAAAUUAGGACCUAGAGGGAAGAAAUGUAUCUUUAUAAGAUAUCCAGAACACUCCAAAGGGUACGUGUUUAUAGGUGAACAAGCUGAUGGAAGUGUGACCGAAAUGAAGUCACAAGAUGUCACGUUCUUGGAUAACGAUUUUCCUAGUAGAGGUGAGAUUGAUAAGGACUUCCAAUUAUAUGAGAUGGAAGAUCCUAAUAACACACCCACUGAUGUUGUAAAGGGAAAUGAAGAUUUACCUCAACAUGCAAGAACUAGUGGGAGUGUUGCAUCGCCUACCUAAUUGAAUUUCUUUACGAAUUGAAUUAUAGAGAAAUUCAAUUGCGUAAAAAUAAUCGUAAAAGUAUUCCCCGUCGUCGUUUAGAGAUUGAAAAUGAAGUAUUUAUGAUUGCUCAAAAAGACGAUGCCAAGCCUAAAACUGUUCAAGAGGCUCUCUUAUCCUCUGAUAAGGAAAAAUGGAGAAAAGUUUUGGAAGAUAAGAUGGAAUCAAUGAGGACAAAUCAUGUCUGGGACUUGGUUGAUCUACCACCCAAUCGUAAGGCCAUUGGAAACAAAUGGGUCUUCAAGACUAAGCGAAGAGCGGAUAGAUCUAUUGAAAAAUAUAAGGCUCACCUUGUGGCGAAAGGUUAUAUUCAACAAGAGGGUAUAGACUAUGAGGAAACUUUUUCACCAGUUGUAAGGUUUGCCUCAAUACGCCUUAUUCUAGCCAUCGUUGCACAGUUGAACCUUGAAUUACAUCAGAUGGAUGUAAAGAUGGUUUUUAAUGGAGAACUAGAUGAGGAAAUCUAUACGAAACAGCCAAUAGGUUUCGUAGCUAAAGGUUAAGAGCAUAAAGUUUGCAAACUUCAUCGCUCAAUAUGUGGCCUUAUGCAAUCAUCUAGAUAGUGGUAUAUUCGUUUUCAUCAAGCCAUAACCACUUUUAGUUUCACGAUGAUCGAAGAAGAUCACUGUGUAUAUGUCAAGCGGUUCGAAGAUAAAUUUGUGAUUUUAUCACUUUAUGUGGACGAUAUUUUAUUGGCUGGAAAUGACAAGGUUUUAGUUAUCACCAUAAAAGAAUGGUUGUCUUCUAAUUUUGAAAUGAAAGACAUGGGAAAAGCUGCUUAUAUAUUAGGAGUUAAAAUCAAAAGAGAUCGAUCAAGGAAACUCCUUACUUUAUCACAAGAGUCUUAUAUUAUGAAGAUUCUUGAGCGUUUUAACAUAUAACAUUGUAAUCCCAUUGAUACCCUUGUCAUGCAAGGUGAAGGCCUAAGUACUAAGAUGUGUCCUAAGACUCUAGAAGAAAUCAAAGUGAUGGAAACUGUUCAUUACUCUAAUGCAGUCGGAAGUUUGAUGUAUGCUAUGAUGUGUACUCGACCCGACAUAUAUUAUGCCAUGGGAUUGGUGAGCCGAUAUCAAUCAAAUCCUGGUCAAGCACACUGGAAAGCAGUGAAGAGAAUCCUGAGAUACUUGAAGGGUACCAUGGACAUCGACUUUGUUACCAAGGGAAUGAUUUACGCUUAUUAGGCUAUUCAGAUACCGAUUGGGGUGGAGACCUGGAUAAGCAUAAAUCAACUUAUGGAUAUGCGUUCUUGCUCAAUGGAGGUGCAAUUUCUUGGAAUAGCAAGAAACAGACAUGCACGGCCUUAUCUACGAUGGAGGCAGAAUUUAUUGCAUGCUCUGCCGCAGUGCAAGAAGCAGUAUGGCUAAAACGUUUCUUAGAAAAUUUAGCCACUGUCACUAAGGUUCCAAGACCGGUGAUAAUUUAUUGCGAUAAUCAAGCAGUGAUUGCCUAUGUGAAAGAUCCCAAGUAUCAUGGAAGGACAAAGCAUAUUGACAUAAAAAAACAACUUCAUAAGAGAUAUAAUAGCGUAGAAAUAAGUGAUCCUACAAUAUGUUUCAACCAAUAGAAUGGUUGCCGAUCCAUUUACGAAGGCUAUUCCUAAAGACAUAUUCUUGACCCAUAGGAUGUCAUUAAGAUUGCGUAGAAUGUGAUAUGUGUUAUUGUAGAGGAUCAUUGGUUUAUGUAUUUGUGAACAUAUGUAUUGUACUUGUUUGUUUAUUAGUGUCUUGAUAUUUUUAUCAAUAAGUACGAAUACAGUAUGAGACAAGCACUACACACACAUAUUAUUGAAAAGUAUGUCAACAGGCAAUGAUUGGCUCACUCACACGAGCAAUCGCCUCAAGUGCUUUAGAUAGCACAUUGAGAUGAGACGUUAUGUCCAAAUAAAUGAUGAAGAGCAAUUCUAGUACAUAAAAUAUGUUGCCUUGAUUGUAGUCAAUAUGAGGUCUGUGAUUUGUUUAUAACAAGACCGAAUAUGAUAGUCUCACAAUCAUGUAUACCUAAAAGAUGCUAGAUGCGAGUACUUAAUUGGGAGUUAUAGAAAGCGAGCUGAUAUAGCAGUCAGGCUAAACAUGAGUACGUGAGAAGCACAUGACUAUGUUUGGGCUAAGAUCUGUAUAAUGGAUAUUUUGAUAAAUGACAUACGCUUUUAUAGAAAGAGUAAUCCACUAUAACAUGUAAUUCAUACUACAUGUGCAUUGUACGACCAAUAAGGGAAGAUGAGUAAAAUUAUCCUUAUUUACUCAUCGUGUAAGCCUUUGAGGUAAUUUAUAAUUUACCUCAUUAUGUGCCCCAUGUUACUUUUGAUUAUGUUCUCAAAGUAAAAGAUCAAUGUUGCUACUUUAGCAUGUUAUCGGCAGUCAUGAAUAGAUAUGGCCUUAUGGGAUGUGUCUAGGAAAGCAGUUGUUUUGAAAUGGAGAAAGACAUGAGUGCGAAGGAAAACUAUUGUUGUUUUACAUCUAUUACAUGUAUUUACUGGUUGACCAAUUAUAUCGCCUUAUGUGGUUGCGGAUAUAAUUGUAAAUACAUGAUGUGUUUUUGAGGAUAGUCAAGUAUAGCCUUUAAGGGAUAGGUAUACUUGGAUUGAUAUAACAAAAUAUGUCUAGGGCACUGUGAGACAUCAAUUGUUUAUUUCUUUUCAGGAUUGCAACCAUUAUGUCAUCCCUAACAGGUGCAUAAUUUGAGCUCCCAAGUGCAUGUGUACUCACUGGUCGCACGGCUUACUUGCUAGUAUGAAUUAUUUUGUAAAGUUGAUGAAUGUUGAACGCCCCAUAUUCUUGAAAGAGAGCUAUCAAGCCUAUCAUGUCCGAGUGGGAGAUGUUGUAUUUUAUUAAUUAAUACGUCCAUGAUGGGGUACGAUUGGCACGCACCAUUUCGACUUGAUAUGCUACUAUGAAGGGGUGUGAUGGGAUCAUAUAAAAGACCUCUGAAGACAACCGUUGGACGGGUUGAACGAAUGUACAUUCAGAAAGUUUUCUUCCUUUCUCUCCCCUUUCCAUCAAGGUGUUCCAUUCCUUCUUUACGAGAACAGUUUGCAUUUACGCCGUGUAAAUCAGGUGCUUUCCUCGUGAUCGCAUCCAAACCAACGUGAGGUAAUAUUGUUCGUGUUUCAUUGGCAAUUCAACGUUCGUUCUGGGGCUAAUUGUUGUUUGCGCAUUGGAUAAAGGUAAGUCGUCUUCCGCCGACUUGAAUUCCAAUAGUCUAAUUGUAACAUCGGUAAUGCACACAGAGCUGUCUGUACAAUGUAGAGAUAUUGAUAUUUAUUCUAGACAUUCCAUUACCAUUAGCACACCCCUCAUUAUAUGCAAGGCAACCCCUUCAUCGUCUCAUGCCGACUCUUAAAGCCUGUAGUUGUUUCAGAAUCAUUUUCGACAGACGAGAGGACAAAGGGUCUCCUUUUGUCUCGCCCCGUCGUUGCUGUUUAAAAACAUACCAAGAAACAUAUAUCUGGGACCAAAAUCAGUCUCUACACAGACUCAAGACUAUGGAGAAAGUAGGAAGGGGACACGUGGGUAGAAUGCCAUUCUUUGUGUGGAUGAGAUUAGGGACAUGAGGCAAGUUGAGCUCGGAAUCGAGACACUAGCAUCAUACACCGGAUGUAUCUUUGGCCAUCAAACUAGUUAUCUAAGAGGUGGAAAAAUUCACGAGCUCACGAGUCAAAACACAACCAGCCUACAUAGCCCCCAAGGAUGCCGGGAGACUCGCGGAAAAAACCUGUCCCUUAAGAACCACGAAAAGCCUUCAGUCUGUUAUUAGCAAUACGCUAUUAAGGAAAGGAACAGCACACACUGCACAAUCGAAUGAAAGCAAAUAUGGCAAGUUCUUCACCUCCCCAACAUCAUUUGGUUGGGAAAUCACAUGCCCCACUAUCAGAUCAAAUUAUCAUCAACAGGUUCAACAAUCUUUCCUAAUGUCAAAGAGCUUCAAAAUCCGUAGAUUGAAAAUAUAAGCAGCCUGGUUGACUUGAAGGGAUCCACAAAAACAUGCAAGUUUAUUGAUACGCAUACUUGAUUUCGCGAAGGAACUCAUGGUAAAAUUUCCCAGAACUUCACUCAUCAGAUUCUAUGCGACGUCCUAUAUGUAAAUAAAGAAAGAAAAAUUCACCUCCAGAGAGUAGUGCUUGAGCACAGUCACAGAGUACAUGGCGUUCGGCCCUACAAGGUCAAUUUUUUCCCUCAAAUUGGGUAACAUUAGAAACUCAGAGCAAUCGCAAUCCACAACCUUCACCAAAAGAAGAUUGGAUUGUAAAGCAAAGUUAUACAAACUAGCCAACUAGGUCUCUCUCUGAUGUUAAGUAUUGACUGGCAGCUGACUUGGUCGGAGAGCAAGGCCAAAGGAUGUAUUAGAAAGAAAACCAAAAUUCCCGGAAGUGAGUCCAAGAGGAGGAGUUUCUUACAACAUCACAAAUGCGGGGAGCUCACUCGUCCAUAUCCUCUUCUCCAUCGACUUCCGCCUCUUCAUCCUCCCUCCUGAGCUGACCCCAUACAUUACACUCCAUUAUAUCGGAAGGACGGAUGGAGGCAGAGGGGCCAUUGUCCCGCCGCAGUUUUUCCUGUUGCACAUAUACCUAAUGAGGAAAUACGCAUGGGGGAAGUCGGUCUCUUUAUCCUCUGCAAUACCCACCUCCCACCUGCUCAUUUGUUCAUCGGCAUCCUCAUCCGUCCCUUCAUUGUCACCAUUGUCAUCAUCGCUGCUAUCAUGGUUCUCAUUCUGGUCAUCGGAGCAAUUGCCUCGACCUUGCGCCGAUCUAGCCAAAUUCAAGCUCACCAAGCCUUGUUGACCUCUAGCGAAGGUUCAGCUAAUUGGAAUCUGGCGAGCUCAACCUUGCCUGUAGCAGGCGAUCGGCCGAAAAAGAAGCAAAAAGAAAAAUAAAAAUAAAAAUAAAAAGUAAUUAAAAUUUUCAAUCAAUUAAAAAAAAGAAAAAAUAAAAAUAAAAAUAAAACAUUAUUAAAAUGAGUGCACUGAGGUCCAUAUCAAACGGUGGAAAAUGUUUUCUAGAUCUUUUUAACGUUUUAGCCAACCACUGGAAAAUAUUAUUAUUUUUCUAAAAAAAUGACUCCUUAAAAAACACUUUUUAGAUAUGUUAAAAAAAAUUAUUUUUUAAGUUUAUUUUUGGAUUUCAACCAAACAGAGCCAAUGUAACAUUGACUCAAUCUAUUAAAAUAAGUAGGUAAUCACUUCUUCAUUUGGACAACAUUUAAAUGGUCUCAUAAUUACAACUCAUGAGUGGUAGAUACACUUAAAAUAGAUAAAUUCACAAUGCAUUUGACUCGUGCUCCUAAAUUUUCUCUCUUUUUUUCUCCCCUUCUUGCACACAAUAUGUGUGCCCUAAUGCUAAUGAAUUUACUUUAUAUCUUUUACACCCUAGCUUCGCAAAGAUUCUUCUCAGAGCAAAAGUAGUGUGCCUUUAAGGGCGCGCAUGACAAAAUUUAUGUUUCUUGAUUUCUCUGUUUCUCUGUUCUCCGGAACAGGUUUGGAACAAAAAUCCGUUUGGUAAUGCAAUUUGAUUUCUCUAUUUCUGAAACAGAUUUCUAUUCCAGAAAUAGAGAAAUUGAAGAAAUCAGAAGCUAAAAUUUUUAACUUCUCAGUUUCUGAAAUAGAAAUCAGAAACUAAAAUCAAACCAUAUAAAAGAACCUUGCACUUUCUUGCUAACUUAAUUCACUCUUAACCACAACUUCACAAAUUAUUGCUAAUUUUCUUUUUCUUAUUUUGCUCGUGUUUUUUUUUUUUUUUUUGCAUUUUUUUUCAAUUUUUUUUAUAACUUCCUCUUUAGGAUGAAAGGCAAUUGAAUGGGUCCCCAAUUUUCAAAAACGACCAAAGUUCUUAAAUGCUUACUUAAAAACAAUGAGGCUCUUUCCUCCUAGAAAAGACACGCGCAUGGCUAGUUGAAGAAAAAGUUCUUACAUAAUAGAUGAAUAAAAAACUUGCCUAGAAAUUUAACCUUAUUUUUUUAUGGAUUCAAAAUUCUUGCAAAAUCAAAAUAAUUAGAUUGUUACACAAUUUUGAAUUUUAAUUCGAAGACAAGAGAUUCAAGAGAAUCUCUCUCUUUGCUAUGCAAGGGUCAUUAAAGGUUCAUUGAGCAACAAUAAAGAAAUUAGGGAUGAGUAAUUGGACUGAUUCAAUUUGAGAAUCAAAAUAAACCGACCUUCCCCCGAUUGUUUCCUAACCAUAAACAUUACUUUAAGGUAGAAUUCUCAUAUAUUCCUUUACACCAUUAAUUUUAUUUUGUUGAUAAUAUUGUAUAAUACUAGUUUUUGAUAAAAUGACAAGGCUGUAUAGGCGCCAUUAAUGGCACCCAUAUUCAUGCUUCCGCAGUACUUGUCUGAACCUACGCAGGAUGAGCUUGCAAAUGAUACAUUGACCGAGGAGGGAAACCAAAAAAAUAUGCUUAGAAAAACAAUUGCUAAUAAAAUAGCAAGGGAUAAUAAUAUGCCAGAAAUUCCAUGAAAUUGUAUUUUCAACUUUUGUAAUGUAUUAGUAUUAUUUCGACUAUUAUUUUGUAUUUGAGGAUUUCCUAUGUUGUUAUCUAAUCAAUUUCUAUUCCUAGAAAUAGAAAUUUUGUUUUGUUAUCAAACGGAAUUCUGUUUCAGAAAUAGAAAUUUUGAGUCGUUAUCAAACAGGUUUCUUUGCUCAGAAACUUGUCCGGGGAAUAGAAAUUAAGGGCCUAUUUGGCAACGUGCCAAACAGUGCCAGAUUCUGAUUUUUUGUUCCCAGAAUCAGUUUGGGACGAGAAUCGCGUUUGGUAAAAUUUUUGUUCCCGGGAACGAUUUUGGACAAGAUUUGAGAAUAAAAAAAAAUUUGAUUCUACGUCCGAGAAUCAGAAAAAGAAUCAAAACGAUAAAACCCUUAUUCUUCUCUUUCAUCAUCUCAGUUGCCAUCCGCCGUCGCCCGCCGCCGUCCGCCACCGCCCGCCGCCACCCGCCGGUCGCCGGUCCGCCGCCGGUCGCUGGAGGCUCGCCAGGCCAGGGCAAGGUCCGGCGAGCUCGCCGGAGGAAAGCCCAGCCACCAGCAAGGCUCGGCUGAUGAAGGCCGACCUCGCCGAGGGCCGGCGACGCUCCGGUGAGCGUCGCCGGCCCUCAUUUGGCUGGUCACCGGUCCGGCGACCGGCCAAAUGAAGAAGAAGAAGAAGAAUAGGAAAAAAGGGAAAAAAAAAAAAAGGAAAAAAAGAGAAGAAAAAAGUAAAAAAGUAAAGAAAUUAUUUAAAAUCUAUUUAAAAAAAAAUGGAACAGAAUCAAUUAAUACGGUACCAAACGCAAUUCUAUUCCAGAAUAAAAAAUUUUGAACAGUUACCAAACGCGCUUUUUUACUCAGAAUCAGCUCCCGGAAACAGAAUCGUUGCCAAACGUGCCAGAAAUUAAUUUCUGUUUCAAAAAUUUUGUCAUGCGCAGCCUAAUCAGUUCUUUUUUUAAUCAGUCUUUGAGCAAGAAAGGAAUGUGCCCCUGUUGACUUAUUUGGGACUAAAACUGAAUGUGUUGCCCGCGUGAAAGGGACCCGGAAUGAGUUCAUCAAUAUGCGUAAUUAGGGCUUAACCAAUUCAUCAAAUGACGUAUUAAUCUGAUCGGGUGAUGGAAUUAGUCACUUUCGGAUUUAAUCGUCCUUGCAAUAUAUUUGAGUUUAGAGUUUACUAAUUAUUGCAGUUAUAUAGGAUCCAAGUGCUUCUCGAUUGGCACUCAUAAGCAAUUAUGAUGGACUCGAGCUCUUCUUGAUGGGAGCUCAUAAAUGCCUGCAACCAGUGGAAGUAUUUGAGUUUCAUACAAGACGGUUACAAUCCGUCUUAUGUGCCAUAUGAAGUUAAUUAACAAGAAGUUAUAUGAUUGUCAUGAGCUAACGGUACACACAUAAUAUCAUUACAUCACUAUACAUGCGAUGUAUGCAUAAAAAUAAAUGCAUCGAAUACUAAAUAUGAGACUCAAGUAAAAGAUCUGGAAUAUCUCAAAUAUAUAAUAUAAAAAAUUACGACAAAAAAGAAGUACUAUUUUAAAUCCAGCAUGACAUCAAAUAUGCAAAGCCGGUGUCCAAAUUGUCAUUACAUGUAUUCAAUCCAUAGGAGCCCUUCGACUUAGGGAGACACUCGGGCGUUGCGUGCGUGAAAUACCAAUCCUCGUGCGCAAAAAGUGAGCCACGCGUACAUGACUUGUCCCGUGAUGGUUGGCCCGGGUUCCAACCACCCCCAACCUCCCCGGGUCCCCCGGGCGGGGUGCGAAGUCGUCGACCCCGAGUCAAUGCAAGGCAAGACCUUCAAAAACCUCACUCCCCUCCUUCCCACACCUCCGAUUCCGAGCUCUUCCGAUCGGCGAAUCGAUCGUGGCCUGGUUGGUCUACAGCUCCGCGUCUCCGAUGAUUUAAGCUCCGGGCUUAAGGGCGUCAGAAUUGUCGAGGCCUCGGGUCACGAUCACUCUCGGUCGUUCUGGUCAGGUAUGUGCCGCUUUAGCUCCUUGGCGUCCUCGUAUGAGAUCUUUGGAUCAACUGACGUUUGUUUCAGCUGGACUCAUUGGCUCAUUGGUUCGCGGAUUCCGCGGUAGCUUAAGUUUCGUUGUUCGGGCCUGUAUCGACUGCGAUGAUAUGGUUUUGUUCGAUCGGUUAUGAUGAGGCGUAAGGUUGAUACGUGCUCUGCUUUUCUGGAGAAAUAUGUUUGAUUCCGUGAUCAGUCGAACCCCGAGGGAGGCUCUACCGUCGGAUAACUGAGCUUGUUCUUUGCAUUUUUAGCAGCGGUUCCAUCACCUGGCCGUGGGAUUGGGCCUGUCACGGUCGAACAGAAACUUGUGGGACCUGUGAAACUUGCGGAACUACGCCUCCUAUGGAACCGGACGAGUCCGACUCGAUUGCCCCACUUGACGAGAGCCUCCAGUUCAUGCCCUUCGACGACAAGGAGCAAUGGUACUGGAAGAUGCGGUCCAUCUACAGGGUCCCUGCCCACCUCACCGCCCUCAACCGUGAGGCCUACCAGCCGCGAGUUGUCUCCUUCGGCCCCUACCACCACGGCAAGGACCACCUCCUCCCCAUGGAGGAACACAAGCACCGCGCGGUCCGCCACAUCCUCAAGCGGUCCAAGAAGCCUAUGGAGCGCUUCUUCGAGUCCCUGUGGGAGGUGGCAUGGGACCUCAAGGAGAGCUAUGACGCGCUGGACCUGAAGUGGAAGGCAAGCAGCGGCGAGGGCGUGGCACCCCAGUUCCUGAAGCUGAUGAUGACUGAUGGCUGCUUCAUGCUCGAGAUCCUGAGGUUCUGGGCCAACGAGGUGGACGACUACGCGCCCAACGACCCCAUCUUCAGUGACCAGGGGAGCAUCUACGUAAUGUCAGGCACUUGGCAGGAUAUGCUGAUGUUGGAGAAUCAGCUUCCAAUGCUAGUGCUGGAUCGGCUGGUGGCUGUGGAGAGCGAUGGCAAGAAGGUUACUUUCGUCGGUUGUAAGAUUAGAAAAUAUUGCAAGUACGCAAACCGCCAUACUAUGUGCACCUAACAGUGCAUCUGUGUGAUCUCACAUGAACCCUACGAUGGAUCCACCGAAUCUAAUGCUCUAAAUACAUUGAUCGCACGGUUCACAAUCAACCGAUAAUUUGAUUAGUAAAUCUAUCACCGAAACUUCAUUUAUUUCCCUUUUUUCGCAAGUAGUAUCGAUACGACCACAAUCUCAGAUUCAAUGUACUGACUUCACUCCGACAACACAGGACGACGAAUUCGUCGGCAGGCUCCUCCUCAAGUUCUUCCCGUUCCCCAGCAAGGACAUCACAAGGUUGGGCAAAUGCUUGCACGUCCUGGACUUCUUCAGGAACAGCAUGCUGAUGGAGCCCGAGAAGGACGAGGAGGUUACUUUCUUAGAUUUCUGUCGUAAGAGAUGCUAUGCAAGUAUGCUAACCGCCGUACUAUGGGCACCUAACGGUACAUCUUGGUCAUCUCACCCCACGAGGGAUCCACCGAAUCUAAUGCUCCAAAUGCACUGGAUGCACGGUUCUAGAUCAAUCGACAAUUUGAUGAUUAAAUCUAUCAACGCCAUAGGAAGGUAUAUUUUUCCCCCCUUUUACUCAAGUAGUAUCGGUCCAACCACAAUCUCAGAUUCAAUGUACUGACUUCACUCCAACAACACAGGACAACGAAUCCGUCAACAGGUUCAUCCUCAAGUUCUGCUCCCCCAGCAAGGGCAUCACAUGGAUGGGCAAAUGCCUACACGUCCUGGACGUUGUCAGGAACAGCAUGCUGAUGGAACCCAAGAAGAAGGACGAGGUGAAGAGGGAGGACAGUCGGGAGAUUAUACAAUUGGCCUCGGCCACCGAGCUCAGCGAGCAUGGGAUCAAGUUCAAGAGGAGCAAUACCGACAGCAUUAAGGACAUCUCCUUUGCGGGUGGGGCCCUGACGCUCCCCAAGAUCUCGGUGGAUGAUAGCAACAUGUCCAUUUUCUUUAACCUCACGGCGUUCGAGUACCUCCAUGCCGGGAAUGAUUACGAGGUCAUCAUGUCCUACAUCUACUGCAUGGACCAAAUAAUCAACAAAGGGCAGGACGUCGCGCUGCUCCGCUCCCAGGGUAUCAUCGUGAAUUGUUCGGAGAGCGAUGAGGCGGUAGCCAAGAAGUUCAACUCGCUGGGCAAGGUUGUGACGAUCAAGGUCGGCCGCAGCCUCGGGGACGUGCUCGAGAAGGUCAACAAGUACUACAAUAAGCGCCGGAACAUGUGGAGGGCUAAUCUCAUCCACACCUACUUUAGGAAUCCUUGGGUUGCAUUGUCUCUCAUCGCUGCCGUCUUCCUCUUCGCGCUCACCGCAAUUCAGACUGUAUAUUCCGUGCUCGGCUACUACAAAUGAACACUUUGCCUCCCAGUACAACAAUAUACUGUCUUUUUUCCACUUUUUUUGGUUUUUCUUCUGAUGACGGAUGUUCGAUCAUCGUCUCUUGAUCGGUUUGGGUUGUUAUGAAUGAUUUUCCUCCUGCUUUCAGUCAUGUUCAUAUCCCUUUUCAAUGUUUUGAAUAAUGGACAUUUUUAUUUAACAUUAUCAAAUGAUGAUUCUCUUGUUUCAUUCUCCUUCAUGUUUGUCCAAUUUGAAUCGGGUAGGGUGAAGGAUGAUCAAGUUUUAGACAGAUGAAAUCUACCUUUGCAACAUUUCUUCUUGAUUAAAUUUGUUAAGUUGCAGUGAAUUUAAGUGAGAAAAUAAAUAUGGCCUUAAAGUCAUCGCUAAUCACCAUUUGCUUCAAACAUCCUAAAAGAACCAAGGUGUCUGAUGUUGAUACCUAAAUUUUGGUUAAGUAUUUAUGAUAAAAAUUGCAUAAAAAAAAAAUAGAGACCAACUAGACCUUAACAAAAAGGAUUUUCGCACCACCUAGCUCUUAGUUUUAUUUUACCAUAUUUACGAAUUAAAAGAAAAAAAAAAGUGAGGCCUGCGCAGGUUGGGCCUUCGCGCCCAGCCCUACCUUUUUUUCCUUCCACGUGGGCCUGACCCAUCUGACCCCAGCUCCCCCCUAACGGUAUGGGUGCGCAAAAUACCCGAGAACCGCCCGGAACUGGGGGUUCUUGAGGGAACCGGUCCGAUUCCCGAUUCCAAUUUAUGGGGGAACCGGUGGGUACUGGUCCGGUUCCCGGUUCCAUGGGUGGAUCCGCUCGCCCGUCCACCCAGACCGGACCUGAACCCUUUUAAUAUUUUUUUAAAAAAAAUUACUAAAAGAAACCCUAGUCUCAUCUCUCUCCCUUCGUCUUUGGUUCUCUCUCUCUCUGUCUCUUCCUCGGUUCCUCCUUAGGCUAUCACCAUUUUGAUUCCUCCCCGAGUGUCGACGCCGUUGCCACUGCUAUCCGCCCCUCGCGCUGGCCGCCACCUGCCACAGCCGCUACUCCUCCGCCUCUGUUGUCCGCCCCCUCGCUGCUAUCCGCCCCUCGCUCCGGGCCCCCUCCGCCAGCAAUCCGACACCGUUGCAGCCCUUACAGCCAUGACGACCGACGCCAGCAGAUCCUGAACCGGUCGCUAGCAGAUCCCGAACCGGUCACUAUUAGGGGUGAGCAGUGGUCUAGGGUCGACCCUGGACCGACCCUGGACCGGCCCAACCCUGCCGGUCCUGGUCCGGUUCCCAAGGGGACUGGGUCGGUCUUUGGUCCUGAAAUUCCAGGACCAAUACUGUGCGGGUUGGUCCUCGGUCCUAAGAGUUUUGGGUCGGUCCAACCCUGGACCAACCCUGUAUAUUAUAUUAUAUUAUUUAUAAUUCUUUUAUAUAUUCAAAUCUAAGUAAAAUGUCUGUUAUAUUAUAUUAUAUUGAGAUGUUCUAUCAAUAGUACUAAUAGUCAUUUCAAUUUAAAACUUUUGUUGAGUAAUAAUUAUAUGUCGUUUGUUUUGUUUUUAGGUGUUUAGAAGUUCAAGUAAAUUAACAAAAUGUGAAGUUAUAUAUUCAUGGUUUAUAUUCAGCAUUUUGAACUUUUUAUAGUUUAAUUGUAUUUUAUUAAUGAAUUUCGGCUGCACUAUGUUUUUCAAUUUGUGUCAAAUGGUAGAAGUUUUUGAAGAGUAGAAUAGUACUGCAGUUGCUACGGUGAUUUGCUAGUCAAGUGAUGUGAAGCUCAUUUUUUGGUUGGAUGGACUCUACAUGAUCAAAUGCAGGAAAACGCUUUUGCAUAUGGUAUUAUGAAUAUUAAAGAUAGAUGAUUACAAUAACUUUCCAUCUUGUUCCAUAUCUCGAUGAGCGGUUAGUAGGUACGAAAUUUCUAUUAUUAUGUCAUCUUAAAUUUACUAAAUAUGUAUUAGUAUUUAUAGUUUAGCUGCAUAAUACUGCAUUAUCGAUGAAUGUGUAAUUUGAAUUUAUAGGUUUGCUUUUUUAUGGAGUAUAAAAAAUAAGACGAAAAAAAUUAUCGAUCGGUCCCGGGUUAACCCUGGAACCGGACCGAACCCAUUGGGUCGGUCCGGUCCUUGGUCCCAAGCUCAAUAGGGUCGGUCCUUGGUCCCAAAAAUUGAGGACCGACACUGUACGGGUUGGUCCUAGGGUUAGGGGGUGGCCCGGACCAACCCGGACCAUGCUCACCCCUAGUCACUAUGCCUCCAUCACUGCUUACGACCACUUCCUCACCAUCGGUGCCUACAAAUCUCCCUGGUGAACAAGAUAUAGAGGGCCUACACCGCCCUCGGUGACCACGAUGACUCCAGCGCCCUCCCCACCCUCUGGGACUCCCUCCCCACCAUCGCCGUCGGCGGCGGCCAGGUCUCUCUCUCUCUCUCUCUCUCUCUCUCUCUCUCUCUCUCUCUCUCUCUCUCUCUCUCUCUCUCUAGCUGCCGUUGGGUGACAAGCUUUGUUUCAACUUGUAGCUCAUCCGGUUGAGCUGCGUUUCCCUUACGCUGGCGAUUUCAUUUGCUUGUGGUCUGGCGAUGCUUCCUCGCCCUUGUUUGUCGCACUAAUCGCUCACUCAUGUCGCAGGGCUUCUUCUGUCAAGCCAUUCGCUUCUGCUUUUUGUAUUCAUUUGAAUUCACGCGAACGCUGUUUCAUAGAAGGGCUUGACUUUAGCUUCAAUUUGAUGUGUGAAGAGCUGGUUUCUCAGUCGUUUCAUAGGCGAUCUGUGGCCCGAGUUUAAUGAUUCCUUGUCUGCAUGUCUCGUGUGUUUUUGGUCGCUGCUGUCGAGUGCUGGCUAGGAUUGUAGAAAAUGAUGUCCGAUGAAGUUGGAGUUUUUAGUCGAGAUUUCUUCUUGUCCGAAGUAGGAACUAGGAGCUAUACUAUACUACCUGAUAAAUUUUUCCUUACUCUUACCUGUUGAGAUCUAUGAAUUACUAGAAGUAUAGCAAAUCUUCCUAGUCUUUGCAGAUUGCGUAGAAAUUGUCCCCUUCCAUAUUUUGCAUGUUUGCUAGGUGCCAAUCUUGUUUCUUCCCUUGUGGUUCUAAUCAUCUGGUACUCACAAGAUUUCACUUUUGGCUAUUGUUUAUUUAACUUGUGUUGGCUUGAACAUAGGGACAUGGAGCUUGUGAUUUCUUUCAAUGGGCAGAUUCUCUGGCAGAAAAUGUGGCCUCCAAAGAUGUUGCGACUUCUAUUGUUGCACCUCUGGAAGUCAUGGAAAUUGAGUCAACAAUGGCAGAUGCUGGUGAAGAUUACGAGGUAGAUCCAUUAUCGAUGAUGGAUAGUGGAGAGAUUAAAGGAGUCAUUUGCAGAUUCUCUGCACCAGAAUGUGAUGUGAGGGGUUUGGAGAGUGAGAGUUUAACUCCCGAGGGUGAUUUGGAUACUCAAGAGUUGACUGUGGAGGAUGUGGAUUUGGGGGAGUCUACUCUAGAGCAAAUGCAGCUUGUUUCCUGUCUAACAUCUCCAGCUAGUCUCAGACAACAAGAAUACUUGAGGCGGAUAUCAGCUGCUGGUGGCAUGCUUGCUGGAAGUAGAGGUACCCUAUGAGUCAUCUUGAGGGUUUUUUCCCCCACCGCACUUGGUUUUUUUUGUCAUUCACGUGUAGCUAUAUAAUGUUGAGCAAUCAUCUAUUAAUUAUUGUUUUACUUCUCCCGCUGUCCACAUCUCCAGAACUUAAAUUUGGUUUUUCUUUCUUUGGCUUGCUUUGAUGUCACGUAGUCGUUCUAUGUUGAAAACCAAAAUUAUUUUGCGUCAAGAUCGAUUCCAUGGAUCCACCCGGGAACCAGACCGGACCGGACCGGCGGUCCGGUUCCCGGGUGGAUCCAUGCAACAAACGGGUGGAUUCCGGUUCCAAUUUUUCGGAACCGGUCCUUAGUGGGCGGUUCCUGGUUCUAGGUCGAGAACCGCCCGCCUAGACCAUGCACACCCCUACCUAACGGCCCGGCCCUGCCCUCUCAUUCAUCUUCCGCCUAACUUCCUCGCGCUGCGCGCCACGCAUGUAGAUAGAGAAAGAGUGGGAGAGGAUGGCGAUGCAUGUAGAGCAGCGCGAGGACCGGCGAGAGACCUGAACGGAUGGGCGGGCGCCUUCAAUGUGGUAGAGGAGGCGGCCUAGCUAGAGCUACCUCAACUGGUGGGAUGCCGGUUCGGCUAGGGGAGGACGGUCGGAGCGCCGAAGAUCGACUAUCGAGGAGCCACCGCCGACCAGCCCCCCUUAGCCUAUAAAUAAGGCGUUGCGGAGGCUAAAAAGACCCACACAAAGAGAGACACAGAAGUAGCGAGCUCCAACCCCCCCGAGAGUCAUCUGGGGCGUCCCGAGUGAGCGAAUCCGAGAGAGAGAGAGAGAGAGAGAGAGAGAGAGAGAGAGAGAGAGAUUUGAGUUUGAGAGAGAGAGCAGUGAGCGAGGGUCGAGGGCAGGAUCAGAACUGUAAGAGGGGGAGGAGAGAUUUGAGGAAAAAAAAAAUCCAGAUCUGAGGGAGGGAGAGGGUCGCGAGGACCCGGCCUCGCCGCCGCGGGCAGCACUGGCAGCUUGGCCCGAUGCCACCGCCGUGCAGCCAUCGACGAUGAGGCCUGCUCUCAUCGCUCCCAUCGCCGCCCGCUCCUAUAGCUGUUGCCUUUCUGUCCCACGACGACCCAGCCGCCCACUGGGCUCGAUCAAGCCCCUGCAUCGUCGAACUCACCGUCGCCUCUUCUCUCGAUCCACCUCUCGGUGACUUCCCAGCCGCCCCCAUCGGCGCCGUAGAGAGACGGAGAAGGAGAGAGGCGCGAGUCGGGUUAGAGUCGGGUCAGGCGCAAGUCAUAAUCGGGUAGGGCUUUCGCUACUAGGAGGGAGAAAUGGGUUGGGCUUGUGUUUUUUACUUUGUUUUGGGUCUCGGCCAAAUUCACGGGCCAAGCCUCACCUUUCAUUUCCUUCGCGGCUAAAGGGCACGGUUAGGCUAGGCCCAUUCGCGGAAACCAGCCCAGCAAAAGGCCUGUGCCAUGCACCCGGGCCAAGUUCGACCGGGUCAAACGCGGAGUUCCGACUCAUAUCCGUUUUUAGUAUAUGAUAUAUUCUUAUCUUAAUAUUACAAAAUAUUUUAAUAAAAAAUAGAAAAAUCCAAAAAAAUGAUUUACACACUUUCAAAAAUAAUGGAAAACCCCAAAAAUAUUUUAUAUUUCCCAAAAAAAUCAGAAAAAUAAAAAAUAAUCUUCAAAAAAAUAAAAAAUAAAAAAAAUCCUUUGAGUGGUUUUUUUUUUAAAUAUGUGAAACUACUUAACAAAAAAAAAUUUGUGUUUAAAUUCAUGGAAGCAAAUAUUGGCUAAUUCCAAUUGCGCCCUUAUGAUACAUGGAUUUCUAUUUCCUUAAUCUGAUUAGGAAUCGAAUCCUAAAAUUUGUAAUUGGUACAAAAUGCUGCAUAAAUGCUUUACUUGAUAUUUAAAUAAAAUUAGGUCUCGGAAGGAUAUUAAUGAUUAACUAAUGUAAUCAAGUCUCUGAUCCUAUUUUCUCUGAUUGUGCUGGAGUGAAGUAUAUCUCCCAAUAUUUCACUUGGGUUUCUAAUCGACUCACCUCAAAUUAAUUAAUGACAACUUCUUAAUGAAAUUAACUUGCAUGUUAAAAAUUCAAAUCAUAAAUCAUGAAUUGGUGCGCUUGGGAGUGCCCACACUGUGGCACCCCUCGACAGCCCCCGAUCCGAUUAGGGUCGCCACAGUUCACUUACCAUUCACUUUUCCUAAUAACACGUCACUCUGAUACCAUUUCAAUUGCAGCGGGUCCAUACAACCUGGGGGUUUACAUCUUUUAGAUCGGUCCCUUGCGCAAUUUAUAUACGGAAGCACAUCCAACAACUCCCUUCCCUAUGUUCAGAAAACGAUGCACACCAACUAAACAUUUAUAGGUAAAAGCCGUACACUUUUAUUCACUUAAACCAUAUGGACAUCAUUCAUCGGUAUAUCAAAAUGCCAUAGUUUUUUAUACUUGGCUAUACUUCAAAAGAUGACCGGCAUCUCUUCCAACAGUCGUAUACUUAAAGUCCAUCGAUCAGUGUCGGCGUCCAAAAGUUCCUUCCUUUGCUAUCCUACUCCUCACGAUCAUAUCCAACCACUUGAUCCAUCUACUAGUAGCAGUGGCAAUAGAGGUAUCUUAUCUAUUCUGAAAUGUUAUUCCCCAAAAUGGGUGAGUACAGCCACUCAGCAAGUAAAUGACCCAAUAAACCACUCAAUGCAUCACACACAUACAGUCACAACAAUCAUAGCAUAACACAUGUCAUUCAAGCAUCCAUGCAUAAUUUACCUUGAAAUCAUGCACAUGUCAUCAUACCACAUGUACACACAUCCUCAUGUAAUCAUCACCAUCAUGUCAUACAUGUACCAUCAUGCCAUAGGUGCACAUACAUCCAUGCACUUACCAUCAUCAUAUUACAUGUACCAUCAUGUCAUAGGUGCACAUACGUCCAUGCACUUACCAUCAUCAUGUCACAUAUACCAUCAUCAUAUUACAUGUACCAUCGUGCCAUAGGUGCACAUACAUCCAUGCACUCACCAUCAUCAUGUCACAUAUACCAUCAUGCCAUAGGUGCACAUACAUCCAUGCACUUACCAUCAUCAUGUCACAUAUACCAUCAUGCCAUAGGUGCACAUACAUCUAUGCACUUACCAUCAUCAUAUUACAUGUACCAUCAUGCCAUAGGUGCACAUACAUCCAUGCACUCACCAUCAUCAUGUCACAUGCACUCAUCAUUAUCAUAUCACAUGUACCAUCAUCAUUACCAUGCAUCCAUGCACAUAUCAUCGUCAUGUCAUGCAUAUACCAUCAUGCAUAAUUCAAUUUCAAUUUCUCGAUUUCAUCCUUUCAUUUUGGACCGUCACAUUUCCCUUUCCCGGGACCAAUGUUUGCAUCCCACAUUCAUCACUCGCACCCCACCUGGCAUCGUGAGAACCAUCCGGCACAAUACCUGCCGAGCAUCCGGCACAAUACCUGUCAGACAUCUCGUAUCCCAACUAGCAUCACGAGGCAUCCCCCUGGCACAAACCUCCAGGGCUUCUGGAAUUACGUACCGACAUACCACCAGCAUCCCCCCCUCUGGAAUUACGUACCAUAUACCACCAGGCAUCUCGAAACUCCCGAGGACCCUCUGGAAUUACGCCACUAGGCCACCGGGCAUCCGACCGUACCCUUCUAGUCAGGCAUCCCGACACUCCCGGGGCAUCGUCGGCUCACACCUUCGACGGCCUUCUCACUUAUCUCAAUUCACAUCUUCAAUUAUAGUUCAAUUUUAACAUGGCAUGUGAUGUGAUGGAAAUCAAGAUCAUUUUCAUCCUUUGAUUCGUACAUGCAUCUCCAAUCAUUAUCAUACAUGCAGCAAGACACAAUCAUUCAUAACAAUACAAUUCAUGGAGUCCAUACAAUUUAGAAUAGUCCAUUUAUCAUGCCUUUUUGAAGUUUACAAAAUUCCAUCUUGUACCCUUUUUGAAAACAUUUAAAUUAAAUAUCCAUAUGAUUCUCAAAAAUCAUGAAAUCAAGACAUGUGAUAGACAAGACAAUAAGAUAACAAUUUCAUGAAGAACACAUGCCCAAAAGAGUUCCACACAAGAAGAUAUAACUCACACAAAUACAGCAGGCAAUUUCGGAUAGAAUCAGAUUGCGCAGUUUUUGAAAUAAUUCGAUUAAAAUACACGAAUGACCUCUGAAAAUUAUGAAAUUUUAUCAGGCUAUAGUUAAGACACUAAAGUAUAUUUUUCAUGAAGACAUCUAGGCCAUAUUCGUUCUAGAUAAUUUUAUAUAGUCGUCCGAAUCUUCUGAUUCUAGCACCGAAAACGUCCAGUAUAGCUAUCUCCGAAAUAUCAAGUUUUUACCCACUUAUUCUUCUUCGUUUCCUCUUAAAUUUGGAUUUGUUUUACUUAAAGAGAUCCCCUACAACUUUCAUCAAGGGAUCUAAGUGAAAUUUCCAAAGAAUAGUCACCAUAUGGGUCCAAGAAGUCUCGGGUGUCCAGUACCGUGUUUCCAGAUUUACCGUCUUAAAGAGAAAGUCGAUUCACUAGGUUACACUUGCUCAUUUUACCUCAAAUUUGAUUAUGUUAGUAUUGAGGAUGUUCUCUACAAGUUUCAUGAAGAAGUAAAAGGGAAAUUCUCGGUAAAAAGCAACAUGCAACCCACAAAACUACCAGAAGGUCAGCAAAGCAGUUCCAGAUCUAGUGUCUUCGUAGGAAGAGGGUUUUGCCCCUUAAAUAUCAACCAUUUUGUCCCAAAUUUUAGUAUGUUAUAGUUUGAUAUUUUUUCUACAACUUUCAUGAAGGAGUCGAAGUCAAAAUCCAACUCGAAACACGCAUGCAAGCCUCCACAAGUUUCUGGGUCGGGCGGUAUACACGAAAUCAGCAAGCAUUUUCAAGAACAAACCACACUAGCUUCGGUUCCUUACUUCUAAACACCCAAGAAUUCAACCACACAUGCAAGACACACAUGCAAGAGUAGAAAUUGAUCCUAACUUGCCUCCAAAAUCGAACAAAAGACGGCACACGGACGGCGACAAACGAGCGGAUGGAUGGCGACGGACUAGCGGACCUCCUCCCUCGCUCGGCUUCUCCCUCUCUCUCUUGGCUCCUCACUCUCUCGCAACUCUCUCUCUCUCUCUCUCUCUCUCUCAAAACCAGCCACUCCCUCUCUCUCUCUCUCUUUUGGUUGCUUAUAUACUUGCAUGCACCCUCAUUUUGCAUGGCCGAAGACACUUGGAGGAAGCCAUGCGGCUCCUCCUUCCCCCUCCAUGCGUCAACAGCCCAAUGGGCUUCAUGGGCCGGGCCUAUUGGCCCAAUUUAGGCCCAUCUCACUUGGGCCUAAAGUCCAAACUUAAAUGGCCCAAGUUUAUUUUUUUAUAAUACAUCUUAAUCCUCAUUUAAAUAAAUAUCUAAUUGCAUAAUAAAAUGGCCAAAAGACUUUGUGACAUUAAUCCAUUAAAUCUAUAAAGUGCAUAGUCAAGAACAAAGUCUUCUUUAUCAAAUCGUCCUAUGUCCAAUUUAAAUAGCCCAUAGAAAAAUAUCGAUAAUAAGCCCAUAAUUCCUACACCACUUUAGGGCAUUUGAUUUUGAUUUUUAUUUAUAGAAAUCAAUUAACAUUCUCAUAAUCAAUUAAUAUUUUCAUAAGGGGUUCGGUCCAAGAGAUAAAAUAUUGUGGCCGAUGAUGUAAUUGUCCCUAUGGCCAUUCAAAGACAAAUAUCGUUUCCCUCAAAAUCAAUAUUUCGGGUUGAAAUUCCCGGAUGCCACACACACUAAGCCAUAUAUGCUUAGCGAGCCAUUAACCCCCACCUUCGCUAGCGCGUAAGAGGGUGCUAAAAAGGGAGGUCACGACAUUUUAUUGUUGAUCUCAACAUAUAAUUUGUUGAAAUGAUUUCCACUAUAUUAAAGAUAUUACAAAGCAUUACACUUUAUAAGGAAACAUACAAUAAUAUAAAUAAUAAAGUUGUAAAUCCCUUGAUUUUAAUAUAUUCAAGAAUCUACUUGUGAUUUUCAUUGACAUUUUCAUAUUCUUCUCUCUUGAUUGAUAAAUCAAUGCCUUAACUCUCCUUCAAAUUGGGAAUGGGACAAUCCCAAAUUCCAAAUUCUCAAUUUGCAACAUAAGUUUCCAAAUGCAUUUUUGGAAUGAUAGCUUCUGAAGAGAUUAACAAUUAGAUGCACAAACAAAACAUACUUAGUCACAAAAGUUCCACGAGCCACUUUUUCUCGCACAUAACGAUAAUCUAAUUUGAAAUGUUUAGUUCUUGUAUACAACACAAGAUUAAUUAACAUAUGAAUUGCACUGAUAUUAUCACAAAAUAAUAUUGAUGGACUUAAGAGAUGAAUACCUAAAUCUCUUAAAAGGAAAGAUAUCUAAACAAUCUCAGCUAUUGUCAACCAAUUGCACAAUACUCUAUAUUGGCACUAAAUUGAGCAAUCAUUCAUUGCUUCUUAGCACUCCAUAAUAUACAGUUACUAUAGAUACAAAAUAUCAUAGUCAAUCGUCAAGUCAAGUAGCAAUUUGCCCAAUCUUCAUCACAAAAGGCAUACAACUCUAUAGUUAACUUGGACAAGAUUUGCAUUUCUCGAUUUAUUAUGCCACUGAUAUAGCGCAAAAUGUGCUCCACAAUUUGAAAAUGAGUUGUAGUGAGCCAAUGCGUGAAUUGAGAUAUAAAAUUGACUACAUAUGAAAUAUCUAGAUAUGUGAUCGUGAGAUAUUAAAGAAAUCUAACAAUACUUUGAUAUAACAUGGGAUCCAAAAAUAAUUUCGCAUUUUAGAGAAUGAGUGCGAGUGGCUAAAGGCGUGGAUCUUGGCUUGCAAACAUCCAUUUGAGCACAUUCAAGAAUUGACAAAGCAUAUGUGGUUGGCACAAAUAAAGACUAUCAAAUAAUAUUCUAACCUCCACAACCAAAAAGUAAUAUAAUGGCUCUAUAUCUUUUAUUGUAAAUUCACUACUCAAUGAAGAAAUAAAUCCAUCACUAAUGACAAUCAUAUCGUCCACGAAUAAAAGUAGAGCUUGAAUGCCAUGAUCUGAUUUUGAAUGAACAACAAGGAUCUACAAUGCUGCAAAAGAAACCAAAUGCUAAAAGAAACAAGCUAAAAUGAUCAAACCAUGCUUUCGAUGCUUGCUUGAUUCCACACAAAGCUCUCUCAAGUUUGCAAACAUAAUACAGGUUUUUUUGGUCCUCAAAACAAGGCGGUUGCUCCAUAUAAAUAGAUUGUGACAGAAAUAAAUAUCUAUAUCAAAAAUAUAAAAAAAUUUGACCAAAAAAAUAUUUAAAAUGACCAAAAUUUGACCCGCCAGUGGGCAGCUGAGUUAGUUUGGCUUUGGGCAUUUCAUCGCAGAGGUCCCAGAGUUAAAACUCCGCAGCUGCUAACACGUCUUAAGUGGGAAGCCAUGGUGGUGGGGUCAUGUGCUAGUCUCCCCCGAAGUAUAGGGACCGUCUAGGCACGGGGGCCCGUGGUGGAGUUCUCAGUUAUAAAAAAAAAAAAAAAAAAAACAAAUGGGGAGUAGAUUUUAAAAAAAAAUCAAAGCCCACUUGCAUCAAUCGUACAUUCUCACUACUCUCCCUCCUAUACAUCCGAAAAAACCCUCUUUUCAUCUAAUUUAUAGAUAUCUGAAACAAAAUUUUCAUUGGACCCUCAGAAAAAUAUGUAUCCACGGAAAAAAAAAAAACAAAUGUUAAUAUACUGACAAUGCUAAAUUAUAAUAACUUUUGUAAUAUAACUAAGUACGAUGUAUUACAUAAUGGGAUGGGACGAGAUGCCCAUACUUUUUAAAUUUCUACAUUGAGUUAUGCAAUAUCAAUUUUGCAGGAUUUAAUCAUCAAAUUGAUUUGAAAUGCCUGUGUUUAUCAUGUUUGGUGCAUGAGAACCUAUAAAUUGCACAAUGACUCGUCUGCAGUCUCACACUUUGUUCAAUGGAUGUUAAGGCUACUAUUAAACUUGGAUUACGGUCUUUGCCUGUUUGGUCUAAUUGUAACAUCGGUAAUGCACACAGAGCUGUCUGUACAAUGUAGGGAUUUUGAUAUUUAUUCCAGACAUUCCAUUACCAUUGGCACACCCCUCAUCAUAUGCAAGGCAACCCCUUCAUCGUCUCAUGCUGACUCUUAAAGCCUGGAGUUGUUUCGGAAUCAUUUUCGACAGAUGGGAGGACAAAGGGUCUCCUUCUAUCUCGCCCCGUCAUUGCUGUUGAAAAACAUACCAAGAAACAUAUAUCUCGGACCAAAAUCAGUCUCUACACAGACACGAGACGAUGGAGAAAGCUAAAACGGGACCCGCGAGUAGAAUGCCAUUCCUUGUAUGGGUGAGAUUAGGGACAUGAGGCAAGUUGAGCUCGGAUUAGAGACGCUAGCAUCAUACACCGGAUGUAUCUUUGGCCGUCAAACUAGUUAUCGAAGGGGUGGAAAAAUUCACUAGCUCACAAGUCAAAAGACUCACGGAAAAAACCUGUCCCUUAAGAACCACGAACAGCCUUCAGUCCGUUAUUAGCAACACGUUAUUAAGGAAAGAAACCGCACACGCUGCACAAUCGAAUCAAAGCAAAUAUGGCAAGUUCUUCACGUCCCCAACAUCAUUUGGUUGGGAAAUCACAUGCCCCGGUAUCAGAUCAAAUUGUUUAUCAACAGAUUCAACCACCUUUCCUAAUGCCAAAGAGCUGCAAAAUCUGAAGAUUGAAAAUAUGAGCAACUUAGUCGACUUGAUGGGAUCCACAGAACAUGCAAGUUUAUCGAUACGCAUACUCGAUAUCACAAAGGAACUAAUGAUAAAACUUCCCCGAAAAUUCACCUCCAGAGAGCAGUAGCUCCACCGUAAUCAGAGAGCACACAGCAUUCGGCACUGCAAGGUCAAUUUUUUCCCUCGAAUGGGGCAACAUUAGAAACUCAGAGCACUCGUAAUUUACAACCUUCACCGAAAGAAGAUUGGAUUGUAUAGCAAAGUUCUACAAGUUAGCCAACUAGGUCCCUCUGCUGUUAAGUAUUGAUUAGCAGCUCACUUGGUUGGAUAGCAAGGCCAAAGGAUGGAUCAGAAAGAAAAACAAAAUUCUUGGAGGCGAGUCCAUAAGGAGAAGAGCUUACAACAUCGCAAAUGGGGGGAGCUCACUCGUCCAUAUCCUCUUCUCCAUCGGCUUUGGCCUCUUCAUCCUCCCUCCUGAGCUGACCACAUACAUUACACUCCAUCAUAUCAGAAGGAGCAUCAUCCGACGACGGAGGUAGAGGAGCCAAUGUCCCACCUCAGUUUUUCCUGUUGCACAUAUACCUGACGAAGAAAUAUGCAUCCGACCCCCUCAUUUGUUCAUCGGCAUCCUCAUCCAUCCCUUCACCGUCACCAUCAUCGUCUUCGCUGAUAUCAUCGGACCAAUUGGCCUCAACCUUGCACCGGUUGUGAAGAAGAAGAGUACAAAGAUGAAGAAGAUAACAGAGAUGAGGAAUAGAAAAGAAAGAACAGAGAGAAAUGCAAAGCUUCUGUAUUCAACAAUGAUUGGAGAGAGAUUACAUCUGAGAGCCUAACUCACGUUUUCCUUUCAACUCUGUAUUUAUACUACAAGUUGACGAAGAACAACCAACUGACAAAACAAACUAACAGAAACACUAACAGAAAGUAUUCAGUUACAACUUACAACUGAAUAUCUAUUCUUUAAUGAGCACGUGUUGUUGCUGUAGAUCCCAUCAUCUUCAUUCCAUUUGUCUCUGUUCAUCUAGAUAUGCUCCUAGACUAAUUGAGGAUUAGGAAGAAAAGGCUAAGAGGUUUCUGAAAUGGUGGAGAACUGAUAUUAGGAAACAACUUGUGCCUUUGAACAUAAGAGAUUAUCAUGAGAUUUAUGAAAGGGCACAGUUAGUGGAGCAGGAGCUGGUGAGAGACCGAUCAGAGUUUAAGAAACAGCUGAACUUUAAUGAUGUGAGAAGGGAUAAGAGACCCUAUCCUGGUCAAGGUCAGACUUGGAAUGUGAAAAAAAAAAAAAAAAGAGAGCAAUUUUAGAAAUUUCGGGAGAGCAAAAGAUGGCCUAAAUAUAGGGAAAGCACCCUAUCGGCCUGAUGUUUGUCAAAGGUGUGAUGGGCGACAUGGCCUGGGACCUUGCAAUGGACGACUGAGAUGUUUUGGUUGUGAACAAGUGGGCCACCUUAGGAGAAGUUGUCCACAAGAAAGGUCGCAAAUGAGUGUUGGCUCGGUGCGACAGAUACAACAACGUACUGCUGGACCAAACUUACCAAGGAAUCCUCAGAGGCCACCAACACAAGGAAUGGUAUAUGCGGUCACCCAAGAGGAAGCGGAAGCUUCCAAAAAUGUUAUCUCAGGUACGAUCCUUAUAAAUGGAAAAAAGGCAUAUGUAUUGUUUGAUACAGGUGCUAUGCAUUCAUUUGUGUCUGAAAGAUAUAGGCAUUUGAGUAAAAUAGAAACUACAUCUCUUGAGACACCUCUUUGUGUUUCUACGCCUUUAAAGAAUAUGGUAUUGUCUACGCUGGUGUGUGGAAAUUGUAAGAUAACAAUGGGAGGAAAGGAUAUGGAAAUAGGCUUGGUCGUAAUGGCUAUGUAUGAUUUCGAUGUUAUCAUAGGAAUGGAUUGGCUUCGUAAGUAUCGGGCCAAAAUGGAUUGUUAUAGAAAAGUGAUCCAAUUUAUCUUACCUGCUCAGUCUAGUUGUGAAUUUUUGGGAGGUCAGACCCACCUAUCUAUAGCACUUAUUCAGAAAUAGAAGCCCGUGCGUUACUUGAUAAAGGAUGUCACGGGUACCUGGCCCUGAUCAACGACUAUACUAGGGAAGAGCCUAAGCUUGAUGAAAUUCAAGUGGUUAAUGAAUUUCAAGAUGUAUUUCCUGAGGAAUUGCCUGGAUUACUGCCAGAACGAGAAAUUGAGUUCAAAAUUGAAUUAAUGCCUGGAACAGGACCAAUAUUGAAAGCCCUGUAUAGGAUGGCCUUAGUUGAGUUGAAGGAAUUGAAGGUGCAACUACAAGAGUUGCUUGACAAAUGAUUCAUUAGGCCAAGUGCUUCACCUUGGGGUGCACCGGUUUUGUUUGUGAAAAAGAAAGAUGGGUCAAUGCGCUUGUGCAUUGACUAUAGGCAAUUGAAUCAAGUGACCAUUAAAAAUAAAUAUCCUUUGCCUAGAAUUGAUGACCUAUUUGACCAACUCCAGGGAAGUUCGGUCUUCUCUAAGAUUGACUUAAGGUCGGGAUACCAUCAGCUAAGAAUUAAGAAAGAGGACAUUCCUAAGACUGCGUUUAGGACUCGUUAUGGACACUACGAGUUCCUUGUCAUGCCAUUUGGAUUGACAAAUGCACCGGCUGCAUUUAUGGAUCUAAUGAAUAGGGUAUUUAAGCCUUAUUUAGAUCAGUUUGUAAUUGUCUUUAUUGAUGAUAUCUUGAGAUAUUCAAGAUGGCCUAAAGAGCAUGAACAACACUUGAGGAUAGUUUUGCAAACUCUGAGAGAUCAUAAGCUAUACGCCAAAUUUAGCAAGUGUGAAUUCUGGCUGGACUAGAUAAUAUUUUUGGGGCACGUAGUAUCAAGAGGAGGAAUUGCAGCGGACCCAGCGAAAGUUGAGAUGGUAAUAAAUUGGCCAAGACCGACGACACCUACUGAAAUACGGAGUUUCUUAGGACUGACUGGUUAUUAUAGAAGGUUUAUUGAAGGAUUCUCACGAUUGGCAGGUCCUUUAACAAAAGUGACUCGAAAGAACAUGAAGUUUGAAUGGAAUGGGGAAUGCGAAAGGAGUUUCCAGGAGCUUAAAAGAAAAUUGACCUCGGCUCCAAUUUUGACUAUACCGACAGGAUCGGAUGGUUUUACGGUGUAUAGUGAUGCAUCUCACAAAGGACUGGGAUGUGUUUUGAUGCAGCAUGGCAAGGUCAUAGCCUAUGCAUCUAGACAAUUGAAACCCCAUGAACUAAACUACCCCACGCAUGAUUUAGAAUUAGCAGCUAUAGUGUUCGCUUUGAAGAUAUGGAGGCAUUAUUUAUAUGGGGAAAAGUUUGAGAUUUAUACAGAUCAUAAGAGCUUGAAGUAUCUGUUCUCACAAAAGGAGUUGAACAUGAGACAAAGGAGGUGGAUGGAGUUGUUAAAGGAUUAUGAUUGUGAGAUACGAUACCACCCAGGGAAGGCGAAUAAGGUAGCGGAUGCUCUUAGUCGUAAGUCAGCUGUGGAGAUGGCCAGUUUAAGAAUGGCGGAAUGGAGCUUGUUAAAGUCCGUAGCGGACUCAGAGUUUAAAUUAAAAGUGGAUUGUCUUACCAAUAUGCUUAGUGCAUUAAGGAUGCAUUAAGGAUUGAACCUGAAAUUAUUCAGAAAGUUAAGAUCUUACAAGAGUCUGACCCGGAAAUUUUGAAAGUGAAAGAUGCAGUGUCUUUAGGAAAAAGACCGGAAUUUCAAGUCUCUGAAGAUGGUGUGGUAAGAUGCCAAGGACGACCUUGUGUUCCCGACAAUGAAGAAGUAAAGAAGGAAAUUUUGUCGGAGGCACAUAGGAGUAAUUACAAUGUUCAUCCGGGUAGUACAUAGAUGUACAGGAAUUUGCGUCAGCAAUUUUGGUGGAAUGGUAUGAAAGCAAAUACGACUAAGCACGUUUCUCAAUGUUUGACGUGCCAACAAGUAAAAGUGGAACAUUGCAAACCUGCAGAACUCUUGAGACCGUUAGACAUACCAUAAUGGAAAUGGGAGCAUAUAACAAUAGACUUUGUACAAGGAUUGCCAAGGACAUCAAGUGGUCGUGACUCUAUCUGGAUAAUAGUGGACCGUUUGACUAAGUCUGCUCAUUUCCUAGUAGUUCGCAUAGACUACCCAAUGGACAAAUAUGCGGAUAUAUAUGUAAGUCAAGUAGACGCUUACAUGGUGUUCCAGUAACUAUUACCUUAGACCAAGAUUCGAGAUUUACUUCGAACUUUUGGCGGAGUCUUCAAAUUGCCUUAGGAACUAAACUCCAGUUUAGUACUGCUUUUCACCCUCAAACAGAUGGACAAACAGAAAGAGUAAUCCAGACAUUAGAGGAUAUGUUGAGGGCUUGUGUGAUUGAUUUUAAAGGAAAUUGGGAUGAAAGAUUGCAUUUGGUGGAGUUUGCUUAUAAUAAUAGUUUUCAGAAGAGUAUAGACAUAGCUCCCUAUGAAGCAUUAUAUGGAAGGAGAUGUAGGACUCCUGUCUGUUGGAAUAAAGUAGGUGAAAAGAAAUUGACAGGACCUGAACUGGUACAAGUUACCACUGAAGCUAUCGAGAUUAUCAGGAAAAGACUUAAAACAACUCAGAGUAGACAGAAAGACUACGCAGAUAGGCAUAGAAGGCCUUUGGAGUUUAAUGUGGGAGAUCAUGUAUUCCUUAAAGUAUCUUAAAUGAAAGGAAUAUCUCAAUUUGGAAUGAAGGGUAAGUUAAGCCCUAAAUUUGUUGGACCUUUUGAGAUAUUUGAAAGAAUAGGAGAUGUAACUUAUCGUUUGGCACUGCCUCCUAAAAUGGGAAAUUUACAUGAUGUGUUUCAUGUGUCGAUGUUGAGAAAGUACCAGCCGGAUCCUGGUCACAUACUCGAUCAUGAAGCCAUUAAAGUGGAUGAGAAAGUGAGGUACAUCGAAGAACCUGUGCGAGUACUGGAUCAAAAGGAACAAAUUCUUAGGACUAAGAAGAUUCCUUUGGUCAAAAUAUUAUGGCGACAUCAUGAUAUGGAAGAAGUCACAUGAGAAAGUGAAGAUCAGAUGAAGGAAAAGUACCCCUACUUGUUUCAAGAGACAUGAGUGAUGUCUAAUUUUGAGGAUGAAAUUCUCUAAGGAGGGGAGAAUUGUGGCAUCCUAGAAUUUCAUGAAAAUCCCUAAAUAUGCCAUGAGCCAUGGAUAGGCGAUGGAAAUACCGUUAUUGUAUUUUUGUAGCUUUUUAAUCCAUGAUUCGCGAUACGAUGUAUGGCCAAAUUUUAAUGGAUGGAUUUUGGGAAAGAGAGUUCUAUCUUAGGCCAUAUGUAUGAUAAAUUGGAACUUAUGGAUUUAUAAUUGCAAGUGUAUAGUUAAUUAAAUUUGCAAUUUAGUACUUUGAUUUAAUAGGGAUUUAAUUAGUUUUUUUUAAGGGUUAAUCUUAAGUUAAUUAAGCUUGGGUCUUAGGCCCAAGAGGGAUGGGCCUAAGAUGGGCUGAAAUGGCCGGCCCAUAGAGCUCAUGAAGGGCUGUCGACCGUGCAAAGGAGGGGGGAAUCCGGUUGCAUGCCUCCCCCAUUUGUCCCAAAGAAAUCGCCAAGUGUCCUACAUGCAUAUAGUAAUGAUAGCUAAUGAUGAUGGGAAGAAAUUAGGGAAAAGAUGAUACUGGUUUAAGCGAGAAUGAGAGGGAGAGAGAGAAGGAUUCGUUCGAGAGAGAAAGAGAGGAGAGGAAGAGAAGAAAGAAAGGAAGAAAGGGAGAAAGGAAGAGAGGAAGGAGGAGAGCCGUUCGUCGACCGUCCGUCGUUCAUCGUUGUGUCCCGUCGCCGUGGUGCUUGCUGUUUGCUCGGUUUAGAGGUAAGUUGGGAUCCUUCUACUCUUACAUGUUGUGCCUAGAGUGUGUGAGUGAGUGGUGAUAAAUUUCGGAUGUUUAGGAUGAGAAAAACGGAAGUUUUAAGAGUGGUAUUCAAAACUAGUAAACUGUUCUUGAGAAAAGCAGCUCGACCGUGAAUGUUCUAGUGGCUUACAUGUGAUGUUCGAGUUGGAUUUUGGCCUUGAAUUCUAAAUGAAAGUUGUUAAGGACUUCUUUUAGUAUAACCUACUCAAAUUUGGGACAAAAAAAUCAAGUAUAAGUGGGUGAAAUAUUUAUUUUUUGGAGAGACUGGAUCUGGAGAUUUCGGUAACUACCUUUGAUGAAUGCAUGGACUGUAAGGCUAUCUUUUUGUUGAAAUAUCACUUUUAUUUCUUAACAAAAGAUGUAAAGGACAUCCUGAGGUUUAACAUAUCAAAAAUUUAGAGAAAAAUAACAAGAAUAGAUAGACGAAAUCAUGUUUUUUCAGAAGUAGUCAGAUUUGGAAAUUUCGGUAUUGAAACAGAAGCUUUAACCGCCUAUAUUUAAUCACCUAGAACGAAUUUGACUUUUAUUUCUUCAUGAAAAACCUACCUUAGGAUAUUGACUACAACAUAGUCGAAUUUCAUAAAUUUUGAAGGUCAUUUGGGUAUUUAAUCGGAAAUGUUUCUAAAACCGUGUAAUCUGAUAUAUUCUGACUUGGUCAGUUGCAAUGCAUGGACAAUAUCGUUUUUCAUGAGGUUCUUUCAGCAAUGUGUUCUUCAUGAAACAUCUCUCUGUAUGUCUUCCCUACAACAUAUUCAAAUUUCGUAAUUUUUGAAGUUCAUUUGACUAAUUAACCAAAAACGUUUCAAAAACUGUGCAAGCUGAAUUGUUAGAAUAGUAGUGCUGUGAUGCAAUGGUCUAUACUGAAUUGUAUGAGGGUCUUUUGGUGUAGUAUCCUUCAUGAAAUAUCUGCCUUUAUGUCUUGAUUAUCACAUUUUUGAAUUUCAUAAUUUUUUAAAGUCAUUUGGGCAUUUAAAUAAAAUGUUUUCUAAUACUGUGCAAGCUGGAUUGUGCGAAUUUCAAAGGCUGGAUGCAUGACUAUUCUGUUUUGGAUGAGCCCCAUGAAUUAUAUUGUUUCAAGUGAUUAAAUCUUACUGCACAUGUGAUGAUUCUUGGCAUUACAUAUAGAAUCAAAGUUGAAAUUGACCUUGUUGCCAUCACAUCAUGUGCUAUGUUGAUUGUGAGACAUGAAUUUGUGAAUAUGAAUUAUGAUGAAAGAGAAGACUGUUGGAGGUGAGUCGACAAUACCCUGGGAGUGUCAGGAUGCCCGGAAUGUGGGGGUGCCAGAUGUCCUCGGGAGUUUCGAGAUACCCGGAAUGGUUGGGUGUCGGAAGCCUCAGAGGUUUGUGCCUGGGGGAUGCCUCGUGAUGCCAGUUGGGAUAUGAGAUGCCCGAAAUGUGGGGGUGUCGAAUGCCUGGUGGUGUGUGCCGGAGGUUUCUCGCGAUGCCAGGUUGGGGUGCGAGUGAUAAAAUGUGGGAUGUAAUUACUGGUCCCGGGAAAGAAAGAUGUAGUGAUCAAAUUGAAAGAUAAAAUGUUGAAAUUGAAUCAUGCAUGGUAUGGUGACAUGUAUGCAUGGUUGUAUGAUAUGAUGUGUAUGAGUGCAUGAUGGUAUGUGCACAUGAGGCAUAGAUAUGCAUGAAUGCUUGAUGAUGAGUGCAUGGUUAUAUAUGCACCUAUGGCAUGAUGGUAUAUGUAUGAAUACUUGGUGAGGAGUGCAUGAUGGGGUAUGCACAUAUGGUAUAAUGACAUAUGCAUGGCUGCAAGGUAAGUUAUGCUUGAAUGCAUGGAUGAUAUAUUCUGCUAUGAUGUUAUGAUUGUAUUGUGUGAUGCAUUGAGUAGUUUAAUGGAUCUUUUACCUGUUGAGUGGCUGUACUCACCCCUUUGGGGACCAACAUUUAAGAUUAGGAAGAUGCCUCUCCCUCCGGUCACGCGGGGUACCUUUUACGGCCUUCCAUCUAACGUGGAGGUCGAUUGUAUGGAGCUCGAUAGUGUUACCAUCCCUGGUCUGACAUUCAUACGGGUUUGGGUGUUGGUGAUGUAUGAUGUGGGCCUGGUUGGGGGUCCGGUCAUCCAGGAGUUCUUGUCGGUCCACGUCCGCCAAGAAGGAGUGAUGCGGGGGAUGUUGCCGCCGCCACCGCGAUGCACCAGGAUGGGUGUGAUGGCCCACGUGAGGAGUGAGAGCUAACACUUUUUGAGGAUAGCCGACACUUGUAGAUGGAGGAUGACACGUGAACGAUAUAGGGGGUCGAGAUCUCUUUUGAGCUGUGGCCAAGUUUAGUUAAAAGUCUUGGCUUCUCUUUUUGGUUGUACCGACCCGAGAAAUCCAUCAUGAAAAUAUAAAUAAAAGUGGCUCGGCUUUAUGUUUUCCUUUGAGGUGUAGCUGGUGUGCAUUGUACCAUCAUCAAGAGAGAGUAGAGGGAUGGCGAGACUCGUCUUUAAUUCCGCUAUGAGCUGCGCUAAACAAAAAUAAAAAAAAUGCCUAAGGACCUCGGUCCUUCUUUAAACCCCUUUAUAUCAAAGACAAGUAACGGGUAUCCUAUAGAGAUAAAGCGAUUGGUGAACUGUGGUGACCUCAGGUGUUUAGGGGUGCCACAGAAACAUACCAAGAAAUAUAUAACUGGGGACCAAACUCAGUCUCUACACAAGCUCGAGACGAUAAAAAAACGAAAACAAGACGCGAAUGGGGUGCCAUUCAAUGUUUCCUUAUAUGGGUGAGAUUAGGGACAUGAGGCAAGAUCGCUGAGCUCGGAUUGGAGAAACUAGCAUCAUACACCCGACGUCUCCUUGGCCGUCGAACUAGUGAGGGAAGAAGCAAUGGAAACUCGCCAGCUCACAAGUCCAAACACAACCAGGCUAGUAUGGCCCCAAGGAUUCCAAAGAGACAGAAAAAGACCUGUCCCUUAAGAUCCACAAACAACCUUCCAAUUGAAUCAAAGCAUAUGUGGCGAGUUUUUCCACCUCCCAACAUCAUAGGUGGGGAAAUCAUAUUCUCAGAUCAAAUCUCUUAUCAAUAGAUUCAACCACCAUUUCUAAUGCCAAAGAGCUGCAAAAUCUGAGGAUUGACAAAUACGAGCAACUUAGUUAACUUAAAGGAUCCGCAAAACAUUCCAGUUAAUCAAUACACGUACUCAAUGAUUCCACGAAGGAACUCAUGGUAAAUCUUCCCGGAACUUCACCUUAUUAGAUUUCAAAUGAUAUCUUGAAGUAAAUAAAGAAAGAAAAAUCACCUUCAGAGAAU